rnacentral:lncRNA from 1 species
CACGACCAUCCCUCUGUGCCAAGUCCUCGUUCAUAAUUUAUGUCUCACCACUGAAGUCAUCCACCAGAUCUAAGACAUAAAACCUCCCGAAGUCUUUUUAAUGACCACACUAGCAUGCUUCCGUAGGGAAUCAUUGCAGAACAAUCUACAGACAUCACCAUCCAACCGACCAGAUAAAAUCACAUCCACCAACCGAGGAUGGUAACGUCACCAGCCGGCACCGCACACGCGGAAAGCCAUCUCAUCGCAGCACCCCACAUGCCCAACCGUCGCCAGCACUCCGUGUCGUCCGUCAUCAUCCGGUCAUCACAUCAUGGUGGAACUGACCGGACACAAGCCCAGUAUGACACGCCACCAGCUCGGGCCAGAUCUGGCCGAUGGCUAGCAUCCCGAGACCGAUUAGGCAUGCUGCCGUAGCACGAAGGAUGUGCGGAAAUGUUUUUAUGGAGUCAUUUGGAAUGUCACGGUCCCAGCUAUGUUGAAAAUGUUUUUAUGGAGCCUAGCUCGCCAUUCUCUCCCAGAGGAUGUGCGUAAAAAAAGAAACACGGCGACUGCGAAUUCUUGUAGUGUUGUGUUUGCGGCAUGCAAGACUCAUGGAGGCACAACUUGAUCGAGUGCAUGAUGGCACGCUGCGUGUGGGCACUAGUUGGCCCCCCAUUGCUGGAACACUUAAUCGCCACUACUGACCCAAAGCAGCGCGGCCGCCUUGGCCAUCUCUUGAUGGAGGGGCGUGUCCUCCUCACCUUCUUCUCGUAGGGGAAUGGUUGCUCGCCGGGGAGCUCCUGGUCGCCGGGCUGCGCGGCGGCCACCGCGGCCACCUCCUGCCGGCGGCGGAGGCGGCGCGCCACCCAGAGCAGCGCGCCUGCGUUGGCCUCCGUGAGCGCGAAUAGGCCGAGAAGGAAGAGGAGAGGGCGGCGUGAGGUCAUGGAUGGGUACCCGGGCGAGCGGCGGCGGCCGGCGGUGGGGCAGCGAGGCGGCCGGGCACAGCCUAGGGUUUGGAGGGGGAGAUAGAGGCGGGGCGGGAGGAAGAGGAUAGGGAGCGGCGCGAGUGGGAGAGGAGGAAACGAGGGGGACGAAUGCAGGAGUGAGGCGGCUAGGGUUAUCUCCACGGGAGCCGUCACUUUUAUACCUAUGUGCGUGAAAUGACGAAGAUGCCCCCGGGGGACGCCGGAAUUACGAGCGGUGGCAUGAACGGGGUGAAACUAUUCAUUGCUACAGGGCUCCUCUUUGAUCCAACGGCGCAGGUCAUCCGAAGGCUUGAUCUGAUGGCCCAGAUCCGAUCAAGCCACCCGAUCCAACGGCCAGGGAUCGCGAGCGGUGAGGAGCCGGGAGGAUGACCGGCAUCCUUAUUUCUCGAUAUACGUAACAGAAGCCGUAUGAUGUUGUGCAAUCAAUUAAUCAACCAAUCCAUCCAAUGAGUGAGUGUAAAAUAGAAGUACAGCAAGGGCAAUGAGCUCAAUCGAAGAACCAGACAACUUAGAUCGAUGGUUGAGUCAGCUAGACAUGCACGGUGGUCUGUCGUCUCAAUACUUCUUCAUUGUCACACAAAUCGCAUCAUAGUCGUCAGGGCGUGGGUGAACAUGCUGCCACACAAGCUACUCCCUCCGUUCCAAAAUAGAUGAUCCAAUUUUAUACUAACUUUAGUAUAAAGUUGGGUCAUCUAUUUUGAAACGGAGGGAGUACAAGUUAUGUACCAGAAACAGAGGAGUCGUAGUUCAAGCUACGGUCACAAUCUGAGAUUAUUGUAUCAAAUUUAUAUUUAUAAUAAUUAAAUGAUUCCAUCCAUGACGAGCAAGGUAGGCUUCACGUCCUCAAGCUCAUUGCCGCCUUUUCCUUUUUUUUACAGCAUUUUUGCCAUGUCCAUAUCCAGGAUUUUUUUACUGUUACAACCCAUGAUGUACCUACAUAGAUAAACAUGCUCCAAGUUAUGAAUUGAAAAGCGAAAAACUAAUACACACGGCAUGUGCUUUCUGCAAUGAGCUGGAAAGUAUACAACAUCUUUUCUUUGAUUGUGUGGUUGCCCAACAAGUCUGGAGAGUGAUUUCUGAUUAUGUUGAUAUACCUAUUCCUGAAUCCUUUACUUCAUUUAUUUCCUUUUGGAAGAAGAAGAAAUGCUAUGAUGUUGUUAACUUAGUUUCUGCUGCUACCUUAUGGAGCUUAUGGUUGCUUCGGAAUGAAUUUGUUUUACAGGGAAGAAAAUGGAGAAGUAUCAGGUGUGCGCUUUGGUGGGGAAGCAUAUUCAUCAAUGGAAGGUGCUGUGUACGGACUCCCAGGCUGCGUUACUCCUCCGAUGCUUGAAGCUACUCGACCAUCAUCGUGGGGAAUUGCUUAGGAUCGCUUGGCGUGUUGAUGAUGCUGGGGUUGGUAGAUAAUGGAGCUUGCUGAUCUGCUCUCUUUCACCUCUCUUUCUGUUUUCUAGCCAAAAAAGACUAGGUUCUGUCGAGAGACAUUUUCGCCUGUCAGUCUUGUAAUAAUUCUGCUGCAGGUACUUCUGGCUGGAGCCGAGAGCUGGUAACAGUCUGGUGUUGGUUGCGCCUUUGCUUUUUAAUAAAAGUUGGGGCNNNNNNNNNNNNNNNNNNNNNNNNNNNNNNNNNNNNNNNNNNNNNNNNNNNNNNNNNNNNNNNNNNNNNNNNNNNNNNNNNNNNNNNNNNNNNNNNNNNNNNNNNNNNNNNNNNNNNNNNNNNNNNNNNNNNNNNNNNNNNNNNNNNNNNNNNNNNNNNNNNNNNNNNNNNNNNNNNNNNNNNNNNNNNNNNNNNNNNNNNNNNNNNNNNNNNNNNNNNNNNNNNNNNNNNNNNNNNNNNNNNNNNNNNNNNNNNNNNNNNNNNNNNNNNNNNNNNNNNNNNNNNNNNNNNNNNNNNNNNNNNNNNNNNNNNNNNNNNNNNNNNNNNNNNNNNNNNNNNNNNNNNNNNNNNNNNNNNNNNNNNNNNNNNNNNNNNNNNNNNNNNNNNNNNNNNNNNNNNNNNNNNNNNNNNNNNNNNNNNNNNNNNNNNNNNNNNNNNNNNNNNNNNNNNNNNNNNNNNNNNNNNNNNNNNNNNNNNNNNNNNNNNNNNNAAAAAAUACGACAGUUGAGCUAAUAAAAAUUAAAAAUAUAUAUAAUGAUAAAUAAACUAAAAGCCAACAAACAGGUCAAUCACAAUUGCUUUGCCAGCCCUUCCCUAUAAUAAUUUACUAAAGACCGGUUAAUAUUUCUACACUUUGUAAAAAACAUCUGUUAAUUUAGGCUCUACUUAGACAUUUUUCCAGAUACGAACUAUGUGGGAUUCAUAUUUUCCCAAAUAUGCCUUUUACAGAAAAGCAAUAACAUGGUUGGCAGCGAGAAGUUGCAGAAAAUGGUUCUGGUGUGGGUGUGGCUGUGCUACAACAAGCAGAAGAAAACCAGUAAAUUGACUCCCCCGCAUCUAUUGGAGGAAAGAUCAAUGGAGAAAACAAUCGAAAAUAUCCAGUGCCGCUAAGUGUGCGUAAAGUUCAGGUGCCUGAUAGUGAGCCAUGGCCGGGUACAUUUUUUUCGAUGGAUAACUAUUUUUGAUUCUUUUUUGGCACAGACUACUAUUCUUGAAAUUGAUAUUACCAUUUCAGUGUCCUUUUAUUUGUGCAUCUAAAAUAUAUAAUUGCGGACAAGCAACUGUCUUACAUAGUAUUUUUUUCGCCAUUUUCCAUUACCCCACAAAAACAAUGUCCGACGACUUACACCACACAGAGCUACAAAAAGGAAACCAAACCAAAACCAUACAGCUUGGAGACUAGCAACACAGUUCAAGAAUUUUAACAAAAUGCUCAAACUACAAAGCCACAAGGAAUGUGUUUAUAUCCGAGUAAAAAAGUAGUAGUGAGAAAUAAGCAUAGAUUAAUUACCUUCGCAAGCCUUUACGUCCAAGAGAUUAGCUGACCAUCCCGAUCCUACCUUGAACUGCUUUCUCCAGGCUGUCAACAUAGUUAUUAGCUGUAUCAAUUAGCGUAAUAGUAGUUGUAUUUGUACCUAAGUUAUACUUAAAUUCUUGUCUGACAUAAUAGUUGUAUCUGUACCUAAGUUUUAGUUCAAAUUUGAACUCAUUAGCGAUUCCCAAUGGGAUUAUUGUUAUUGGAACUGACAGGGGUAAAUCGACACUUAAGACUGACAAAUUAACUGGAAAACUCACCUUGGUAAGAAUAAUGGGCAACUCUUUAUCGUCAUUCUUCCAGCAUAUACCGACAUCACUAACUUGGACACCUUCAGUCACAAUUCCAUUCCACACAAAAAUCUUGUCUUUGCACUGUAUGCCUUCCGUUUCAUUUUUCUUUGGUGUCCUUCUUACCUUGAUUGCUUGCAUGGAGUGUGGUUGCAGGAUCCCUGCAUCCGGUUCGAUUGUGUAGGACGCAGAAUUGUCUUCAUGAGGCCAUGCGCUGAAACCGACAAUGUGAUGUGUAACAUUGACAAUUUUAAGCAAGCGCAACAUGGACACCCUCAUGUUGGGAACGAAGGUGAAGGGGAGCUGUGGAGGAUCAAGCUGAAUCAACUCGUCUGAGGUGCAUAAGUUGCUUGUCUGCAAAAAAGGAAUUCAGCUGUUUCAAUUCAACAAGUCUGAGGAUCUUGGAUGAAGACAAAAAUAUAAGACAGGUCAAAAUGUUUUUUUUAUAUACUUCAAAACGGAGGCAGUAGGACAAAAAAUGUUGCAAUGCUAAGUACUCCCUCCGUCCGGAAAAACUUGUCACCAAAAUAGAUAAAAGGGGAUGUAUCUAGACAUAUUUUAGUUCUACAUACAUCUCUUUUUAUCCAUUUUGAUGACAAGUAUUUUCGGACGGAGGGAGUAAUAAAGAAAUGUUAACCAACACGUAGUAGGACAAAUGUUGAGCUUUGAAGGUAGUAAAUUAUUAUUUUUUAACACAUUCAUUGCAUAAUUACGGAACUUAAUUACCUUGUUAGUAUAAACAAUUGGCAACUCCCUACCCACUGUGUAUUGAGCACAACCAGCAAGGUCGCUGGCUUUGGCACCUUCAUUGACUAAGCAGCUCCAUACAAGGAACUUAUCGUCUUGGCACUCACUAAGCAGCUCCUCCUUUUUCUUCGGUACCCUUUAAUACUACCAGUCUUUGAGUGGCCCGUGGUGGCAUAACUCCACCCGCAGGUUUUGUGUAGUACCAGGCCACAUUUGUUUGCGGGUUAUAUUUAUCAAAACCAACAUAGUAGUCUGUACUGUUGACUAUAUUAACUGAAAACAGCAAGGGCUUGUUUGGCAUCAUCAUCAAGGGGAGGCUCAGCUCUGGUGGGUCAAACUGGAUCAGCUCCUUUGAGAUACUCACCUUAUUAUUAACAAUAAAGAGCAGUUUCUUACUCUCUUCCUCAACCAUGUAACCAGUGAUGUCCCUGCUAUCGACACCCUCAGUCACAACACGGCUCCACACAAAGAAAUCUUCUACAGGCUCCUCGGUCUCAUCAAUUAUCCAAUGUAGUAUUCUUCUUUCAGUUGAUCGUGGUGGCAGGAUUACUUUCGAUGCUCCAGCUGCAGUUCUCUUGUCCCGCGCUGCAUUCCUGCGGAUGAUAUAUACAUUGAAAGCAACGUAGAAAUCUGUAGUGUUGACUACAUUUACUAUGAACUUCAUUUCCUUGUUUGGCCAGUGGGGCAUGCAGAGCUCAGCGGGAUCCAACUGGACCAGCUCAUCUGAGGUUAGUGAGUUUAUCUGCAAAACAAACACGACUUCCAUGCAAUGAGAAGAAAAUCUUCGUCAUUUCGUUUCUCCAUGCAAUGAGAAACAAACACGACUUCCAUGCAGAAUAAAUAAAGUUGCACAAGUGGGUUUGUGGCGCAUCAAUCAUCACAUAGAGAUGGAAUCCGUGAUCAUUUACUACUUAGGCCUCCCACGUAUUUAAGGGAGGGAGGGGGAGAGACGAUAUUAGGUUGGUCAAAUUGACGACCUAGGGAUACGCACACACCCUGUAAACUGAGAGAGAGGUAGUAGUAGUAUGAAAUUAAAGUUUAGGCCUCUUUUGGUUCAUAGGAAUAGGAAUUUUGUAGGAAAUGAGAUGACAUGUAUCUCAAAUCCUAUGAGUAGGAAUAGGAAACGAGAUGUCAUUUGGUUGACAUCAAAGGAAUUUUUCCAUUAAAUCUAGGCUCAUUUUUAUUUUUCUAUGAAAUGUGGAGGAUAGAAACCAAUCCUAUGUAGGAAUAGGAAUCCAUUCCUAUGAACGAAAGGGCUCUAAAGGAAGAAAUCCUAUAAGAAUCCUAUCCUCUAGAAUUCCUAUGAAAUUCCUUCAAACCAAAGGAGGCCUUAAUCAGAAAUCACAAGUGUGUCACCAGGUUUAGAUACUACCAUUCAUUGUGAAGAUAGUAACAUAUACUACCAUUCAUUGCCGUGUGGGCUUUGUCGAUGGUUGUUUGUGCUGGAGUCAGAGUUGUUUGCUUGAGGAGAAAUGAUGACGAUGAUGGCAAUGUGCUACCUUGAUGAUGUUUUGUUCUCAACAAUGUGCGUGUGUGUGUGUGUGUGUGUGUGUGUCGGCUCGGCGAACUAGGCCGUAUGGGCGUUGUAUUGGUUUUCGUCUAGUUUUCCGCUAAAUAACCGAGUGAGUAUCUUCUUAAUUAAUGGAAUGGAAAAUCUUUUGCCUUGCUUAAAAUAUCCACAAAACUAAAUCUAUGUCAAUAUAGUACUGAAAAGUUACUAUUGCGACAUUAGGCCAUGUGUACUCAAAAUAAAGUUCUAAACCGUGCAAUGGCUAUUAAAAAGAACACAUUAGUCUGAGUUACAAAACAGAUUGUGAUGCCAUGCAGGCUAAUUUAUUUGUGGGCUUUGAAGUAGAUCACUAGAGCUAAAAAAGAUAGAAGUGUUGUUAGUUUGAUGAUGGUAUCAACAAGAAAAACAUUGCCUUUUGAAACUUAGAUUUUUCUAUACAGCUAAUUAGAAAUACGCAUAAAGUAAUUAUAAGAAUUUACAUAAUGUCGCAAUUCUACAAGCUUAAGCUGAAAUUAUAGUGAAAAUUGCAUGUUGGCAACCAUAUGCCCACUAGUAGAAAACGGGCCUUUAGUCCCGGUUCUGGUACCGGGACUAAAGCCCCCCCCCCCUUAGUACCGAUUGUGUUACGAACCGGGACUAAAGGCCAUCCACGUGACCGCUGUCUGGAGCUCGACCUUUAGUCCCGGUUGGUGUUUUUUGAAUUUUUUUUGAAUUUUUCUGGAAUUUUUUUUUGAAUUUUUUUCUCGAUUUUCAAAUUUCUAAAUUAUUUGUAUUUAAUCUCUAAUCAUCGAGUUCUAUUCCCCUUUGUUUCCAAGUCUACAUUUGUUGUUUUCCUGACAAUAAUAAGCUGUCGAUCCUAUUAACCCUUAGGAGUUGAAGUUGAGCAUGAAGUUACACGUUACACCAUUUGAGUUUGAAACUAUUAUUCUUAAAACCAAUAAUUAUUUAGUAACACUAAUAUUUCUUAAAUAAGUAGUUUGACCAUAGUUUGACCACCGUUUGACCAAACUUGACCAAAAUUUAAAAAACUGAAAUAAUUAUUUAGUAACACUAAUAUUCUUGAAUAAUUAUUUAGUAACACUAAUAUUUCUUGAAUAAGUAAUUUGACCAUAGUUUGAUCAAAAUUCAAAAAACUGAAAUUUGAGCAUAUCUUUUUUUCUUUUAGAAUUUGAGGAUUCUAAAAAUUUGCAAAAUGGCCUACGGCCGUCAAAAUCGGAUGCGGAUUUUCAUCCUGAACAUUUUGAUAUAUUACACAUUUUUUUUACAUCGUAUGCAAAAGAUAUAGUCGUUUUAUGUUUUUUAAUUUUCCUAACUAGUAGAUGUAGUAACAUAACUACAUCUCGAAGGAUUUAAAUUUUNNNNNNNNNNNNNNNNNNNNNNNNNNNNNNNNNNNNNNNNNNNNNNNNNNNNNNNNNNNNNNNNNNNNNNNNNNNNNNNNNNNNNNNNNNNNNNNNNNNNNNNNNNNNNNNNNNNNNNNNNNNNNNNNNNNNNNNNNNNNNNNNNNNNNNNNNNNNNNNNNNNNNNNNNNNNNNNNNNNNNNNNNNNNNNNNNNNNNNNNNNNNNNNNNNNNNNNNNNNNNNNNNNNNNNNNNNNNNNNNNNNNNNNNNNNNNNNNNNNNNNNNNNNNNNNNNNNNNNNNNNNNNNNNNNNNNNNNNNNNNNNNNNNNNNNNNNNNNNNNNNNNNNNNNNNNNNNNNNNNNNNNNNNNNNNNNNNNNNNNNNNNNNNNNNNNNNNNNNNNNNNGCACCGUCCCAACAAGAGUCACAACUAAGGUUAACCAAGCCAGAGUCAUGUUCUAUUAAAGUGGCAAAAAGAAUUACUUUUUAAUAUAGCAAAACUAAUUCUAUCAACUAUUAUUAUAGGCUAAACAACUAUUAAUACAAAAUAGUAGCAAAAUCAAUAUUAAUUAAUAAAAAAAAUUAUCUACUGUUGUCUAAUAGAAGCCUACUACAACAUGUUGAAAUCUACAGAAAGAACUAACUAAACAUAAUUGAAAACAACAAUUAAAGGACUAAAACAACUAUAAGCAAAGCAAAACUGUUUUAAUUAAAAUCCUAAUUUAUAUUAUUCUAAAAAUAACCAAAUUAAUCUUACUGUGACAACAAUCUGACAUGUGACUAGGAGCAAAAAUAGUUACAUUAAAAACUAUUUUUAAACUCAAAUUAUUCACAAUCUAGUGUUUGAAGCAAAUUUGAACAAAUUCAUAUUUAAAACAUUCAAAAUUGAAAACUAAUGGCACAAACAGAAACUAGACAAAAUUUUGAAUCUAAUGCAAAAAUAUUCACUCAAAAACAUUUAAUAUCCUAAAAGAUAUAAGCAAUUUGAAACAGAGACUAAAAACAAAAAACAAAUAGAAAAACAAAAAACAAAAAAAAAAUCAGAACCCCUUUAGUCCCGGUUUGUAACACGAACCAGGACUAAAGGGAAUCGCACCCUUUAGUCCAAGUUCGUGUCUCAAACCGGGACUAAAGGUCCCAUUUGAACCGGGACUAAUGCCUUCCCGAAGCCCUAGCCGCUCGAACCGGGACUAAUGCUCAGAUUAGUCCCGGUUCAUAACGCAACCGGGACUAUUGCUCCGAUCCGGCUGUGACGAAAGCCCUGUUUUCUACUCGUGGUCGUUUAUUCAAUGAAACCCACAGCACCUGGUAGGACCUAACAUCCGAGAAGCACCUAUGUUUGAAAUAAAAUUAAAGCAGUACCUUAGUUAUCUUUAUGCAAAAAAAUAGUACAAAGUGUUGGUUCUGUCGUCAUGACCAGAAUAUUGAACAUUUAGUUUUUCUAGUAAAAGUUUGCAUGUUCUAUAUGGGCAGUCAACGAUGUGACUUUAUCCACCUUUGUUGUGUUGCGAAUAUCUUUGGGAGCUGGUUGCGAAGCAUUGAUUGCAAGAGUAGCAUCCUCAUAGGGGUGGGAGUGGUUGCCGUAUUAGGGAUGGAUAUGUAGAGUUGUUUCCAUAUUGUUUCUCGUUUUUUUGCUCUAAGUUUAAUUUACCAAAUUUUAGUGGGUACCAAAUAUUAUUCAUUUCAAAAUAAAAAACCAUGGGAAAAGCAAAGGUUGACUCUCUCGGUUUUUAUAAUAAACCAAGUAAAUUAUCAUGAAUUUGUCCUCAAGAAAAAAUAGUUAACUAACCUUGUCAAGAACAAUGGGCAACUCUUUGCUCUCUUGUUCAGCCAUGCAAUCACUAAGCUCGCUGUCUUUGACACAUUCGGAUACAAUGCCUGUCCACACAGAGUACUUAUCAUUGAACUGCUUAUAUUUUAAUGCAUCUUCCUUUUCUUCUCUUGUUACCAUAAGUUUUUGUGUGGAUCGUGGUGGUAGGAUUCCUCUCGGUGGCUCUGUGUGGUACCAUGCCACACUUGUUGUCCUGCUAUAUGUAUUGAAACCAACAUUGUAAUCCGUAAGGUUCACUAUCUUAAUUGAGGACAACACCUUCUUGUUUGGCAAAAUGGGAAAGUGAAGUUCUGGUGGAUCAAAUUGGAUCAACUCCUCUGAGAUAGAUGAACUUGUCUGCUGAAAAGAACAUAGCAUAUAUAUAAGUUAGGAAGGGUAAAAUAUGCAAUUAGAGAUCACAACGUGACUUGAGAGCAAGUAGAAAAUAAAAUAUGCAAUUAGCAAAUGCAAUAAAAUGGCCGUGUGCAUCAAUUGGUGCAGUGGACAGCAUUUUCCCCCUUUUCAAAACAUAUGAUAAUAGCUGUAGUGAGCAAGUAGCCGUAGUCAUUGGCAGCACAUACUAUCGAAAUAAGUAUGCUCAAAAGUGUUCUAGUUGAGCCACAAGUUAAAUGUAUGGGAGCUCCAAAGGUCAGGACCUGAGGACAUUGAUGGGGAUAUUUAGCUCUUUUAAUGUGGUCGAGAAGAAAAACACAAAGGUAAAAAAAAAAUUAAGACGUAUUCAUUACAUAUAGAGAACUCACCUGUGUAAGAACAAUGGGCAACUCGGUACACUUUGUCUCGGACAUGUUAUCAAUAACAUCGCUAGCUUUCGCAUCUUCAGUCACAAUGCCGUUCCACACCAAAAACUUUUCGUUGCACUGAGUGUCUUCUAGUUCCUUUUCCUCUGCUAUCCUUGUUACCAGGAUUACUUGCGUGGACAGUGGGGAAAAAUUCCUUCCGAUGGAUUUGCAUUGUACCUUGCUGAAUUGCUUAUCUUGGUGCAUACUCUGAAACCGAUGUACUGAUCUGUAAUAUUGACUAUCUUAGUUGACGACAAGACUCUCUGGUUUGGCAACAGGGGAAAGCUGAGGUCGGAAGGAUCAAACUGAACCAACUCGUUUGAGCUUGUCUGCAAAAUGGAACAUAUAUAGCUGUGGAUUAGUUGGUGCAGCCUGAGAAACAUGAAGACAGAGAACGUUUAGUAUUUGGUUCAUCCAACACUCGCAUCUCAGCGCUCAAAACGUUUUGAAGUGGUCUCGACGGGUGCAUAUCUUGUCUAGUUUUAACAGUUGAGAGUGUCUAGUUUAGGUGUUUGAGGGAUGUGCUGGUUAAAUUUAAGCCAUUAUAUAUGUUCAAAAUAUGAAAUUCAGGAAAAGUAUGGGGAAAAUCUGGUGCAAUUUACUCUUUAAGAAACAUAAAAUGUUCCUUGGAAAUAUAAAAUCUGGUGCACUUGUAAAAAGUCUCGUUCCUUGGAAAUUUAGAAGAAAUGGCAGUAGCUUGAAACCAACGCUGCAAGAGUAGCCGUUAACGAAUAUUUUAAUAUGAGCUUUCAUUGAGUCGCAAAAGGUACAGCACUGACUAACACCUUUUUUUCAGGUGGCAUGGUUUAGAUCUUAUUUUCAAGAUGGUGGGGAGCGCAAAAGAGUAAAUCAAAUUCAUUUAAAACCCAUGCAUGCAUUAUGAAAUUAUGAAGCUUAAUUACCUCCCUAAAAACUAUGGGCAACUCCUUUCUCUCAUUUUCGGGCAUAUAUCCUAUGAGGUCGCCGACGUUGACAUCUUGAGCCACAAAGCAGCUCCACACAAAGUAUUUAUCUUUGCACCGUAUGUCUUCCAGUUGAGGUGCAUCUUCCUUGGCGACCCUUGUUACCACCAGUUCUUGUGUUGACCGUGGUGGCAGGAUUCCACACGGUGGUUCCAUGAUGUACAAGGCCACAUUUGUUUCCUCCACUUGUGUAUUGAAACCAAUGUGAUAAUCUGUAAUGUUGACUAUCUUAAUUGAAGAGAACAAACGUUUGGUCGGCAGGAAGGGGAAGCAGACUUGAGAGGGUUCAAACUUGAUCAGCACAAGUGAUGUUGGUGAAGUUACCUGCAGAUCAGGAAAGGAGAAGAGUCACAAAGCAGCUCUGGAUCGGAGUAAUAGUAAUGCGUUCUGUAGUCAGGGAACUUACCUUAUCAAAAAUUAAGGGCAACUCGAUACUCUGUUGUAUGUUGCAAGACAUGGAACAAUUCAGGUCGCUGACUUUGAUGCCGUCACUGACAAUGGCAUUCCAGAUAAAGAGCUCCUUUUCUUCUGGUUGCUUGUCAUUUAUUAUUAGCCUUGCUAGGACGAGUCUUUGAGCAGACCGUGGUGCCAAAAUUCCGAAUUUACUAAGUGUAUGGUAGGACACGGCCGAAUCCGGCCACCAUAAUAUACGAAAACCAACGUAGUAAUCGGUGAUGUUGACAAUCUUAAUGGAGGACAAGCCUGUGUGGUUUCGCGGAAAGACGAGCCGUGCAGGAUGGUGCAGUCGGAUCGGCAGCUCGUCUCCGGGCUUAAUAAAUAGACGAAGACCAACAUAGUAAUCGGUAACGUUGACCAUGUUAACUGAGGACAAGCAUGUCUUGUUACGCGGAAACACAAGCCCUGAGGUUGAGGUUGAGGUUGAGGUACUCCUACAUGAUGAUGGGCUGCUUAUCUGCAAAAACAAAAUGAGAAGGACACAUGCAUGCCUGAGGAUGCCUCUCGCGCAGUCGGAUGCAAAGCUCAACCAGCUAAUCUAAUCUAAUCUAAUCUAAUCAGAUGACGGGGGUGGGAGUGGGACUGACCAAUUACGAUGCCAUGCAUGUCAAACCAGAUGCCGCAUAACCCAAAUCCACCUCAUUAUCCCAGAUACUAAGCUCCUUUAUCGGAGAGGCAAAAGUUCUACUCCAGUAAAAAGAAAAAGAAAAAGAGUACAAAUAAUGCAUUGCUUAAUUAAUUAGGGAACUCACAUUAUUAUUGUUGAAAAUGAUGGGCAGCUCCUUACUGUCUUCAUCACUGAGUUGACCCAUCAAGCAGCUGGAUUCGACACCUUGAGCCACAAUCAUGUUCCACACGAAUAUGCUUUUUUGGCACUGCAUGUUCUCCUCUGCUUCAUUUUCCUUGGGUACCCAUUGUACAACCAUUCUUUGAGUGGACCGUGGUGCCAGAAUCCCUCGACGUGGCUCUAUCUCCCAAAUACUGAAGCUCCAAAUAUUGAAACCAACGUAGCAAUCUGUAAUGUUGACUAUAUUAAAGGAGGAGAGUGAAGUCUUGUUCAGGCAAGCAGGAAAGCCUAGCUCCGGUGGAUCAAACUGGAUCAGUUCAGUGGAGGUAGUACAAGAGUCUUUUAUCUACAAAAAAUGAAGGCAAUUAAUCCUGAUUAGGUGGACUAGCGCAUAUGCCCGUGCGUUGCAACGGGAGAUAUUUAUUACGAGAAGCAACAGGAGAGAAAUGAUGUGUCCUCCAAAAAUAGUCUCUCUAGCGGUGGCCGACAGAGCUAGGAGCUGCGAUCUUCUCGUGAGUCAUGUUUGGCCGACGAGAUCUUGAUAGUGGAGGGGUUGGUCUAUGUCUCCUAUCACGGCGUAACCAAAUGUAUUAUUAAUUGCAGCGCAUAAAUCAAAGACUCGACAACAUGCUGCUAGCUAGUUGAACAAACACGUUCUAUUGACCAAUGGCAAGCGCGGAUAUGUAAUAACAUAAUGCAACAUCAGAUUUGAAACAUAUUUUAAAUUUUUUCAAACCUAUCAUAAAAAAUAAGAAUGAAUUUGCGUAUAUUCUUUGAAACAUGACCAUUUUUUGAAAUUUCAAACAGUUUUUGAAAAUUCUGAAUAUUCCCAUAAGACAUGAGCAAAAUUUUAAGUUGGAAUAUAUUUUCUUAAAUUCACAAAAAAAAUCUGAAAACAUGAACCUUUUAUAAUAAACUGAACAUUUUUUGAAUUAGUGAACAAUUUUUUAAAUGGUAACAUUUUUUGAACAUUCAGAAAUUUUUUGAAAAUGUUUUUUCAAUUAAGAAAAUUAUUUUAAUUUCGUAAUCAUUCCACAAAAAAACAUUUUCAAAUUUGAAACAUCUUUCUAAAUGCAAUAGGAAACAUAGGAAUUGUGAAUAAUUGCAUAAAAUAUAAACAUUAUUUGAAAAAUGGGGAACUUUUGUUUUAUUGUGAACAAAUUUCAGAACAAAAACAAAGUUCUGAACUUUUAUAAAACAAUUGUUUUUUUAGACAUUCGAAUAUUUAUCGUAAACUUGAACCAAAAAUUGAAAUUCUGAGGUUUUUUGAAAAUUUCGUAUUUAUUAGAAAAGAAAAAAACGAAAUUGAACUUGGAAGGUUAAAACGUAAAAUUAAUUAGGAAAGAAAAAGAGAAAGAAAGAGAAAAAAGACGGAAUACAGGAUAAAAAGAAAAUGGGCCGGCCCAGUAUUAGGCGACUUGUGCAAAACUUGCCGUAUUUGACGCUCUGUGCGGUAAAUAGGGUGCUGCCAGCUGUGUGUGCCUUGCUGCACUGGGCCUCAACGCGCGGCCCAGGUAUGAAAUCUGUACAACCCAUUUUUCUUUUUGAACAAACACGUUCUGUUGACCAAUGGCAAUCACUGAUAUUUAAGAACAUAAUGCAGCAUCAGAUUUGAAACAUAUUUUUUUUCAAACUUAUCAUAGAAAAUAAGAAUGAAUUUGCGUAUAUUAUUUGAAAUAUGAACAUUUUUUGAAAAUUCUGAAUAUUUCCUAAAGACAUGAGAAAAAUUUUAAAUUAUAAUAUUUCUUUAAAUUCACAAACAAAUUCUGAAAAUAUGAAACUUUUAAUAAUAACCUGAACAUUUUUUGAAUUAGUGAACAUUUUUCUACAUUCAGAACUUUUUUGAAAAUGUGUUUUCCAUUUAAAAAAUUAUAUUAAUUUGGUAAACAUUUAAAAAAAACAACAUUUUCAAAUAUGAAACAUUUUACAAAAUGCAAAAAGAAACAUUGGAAAUUGUGAAUAAUUGCAGGAAAAAUAUAUUUUUUGAAAAAUUUGGGACUUUUUUUAUUUCGAACAAAUUUCAGAAGAAGAAAAAAGUUCUGACUUGUUUUAAUACAAUUUUUUUAGAAUUUGGAAUAUUGGUCGAAAACUUGAACCAAAAAUUGUAAUUCUGUGUUUCUUCGAAAAUUUCGAAUGUAUUAGAAAAAACUAAAUUAAACUUGGAAGGGUAAAACGUAAAAAUAAUUAGGAAAGAAAAAGAGAAAGAAAGAAAAAAGACAGAAUACAGGAUAUAACGAAAAUGGGCCGGCACAGUGUUGGGCGACCUGUGCGCAUCUUUGGGUAUUUGACGGUCUGUGCGGUAAAUAGGUUCUGUCAGCUGUGUGCGUAGGAAAAUAAGUGGCCUUGCUGCACUGGGCCUCAAUGCCCGACCCAGGUACGAAAUCUGGACAACCAGCUUUUAUUUUCUAGCACACGAAAGCACAAAAAUUUAGUACCACCUCUGAUAAAAGAAUUGUUUUUUCAUUGAUGAACGGAUGAAAAAAGCGGAGAAACGCACCUUGCUUUAUUAGUAGGUAUAGAUUGGUCUGACUCAUCAGAGAAUAAAACAAACAGAGAACCUACAUUAUUUGUUCAUCUCCGGGGUGAAUUGGUCAGAGAACAUGCAUGGGCAGUCCAAAUGAGGGAAAUGUCACGUGCUGUUAGGUAAUCAAGGAAGGGAAGAGAUGACAUAUGUAUGUAUGUGAAUGUGUGCCAACAACAACAACACCCAAGCUAGCUAUCUAAGAGAAUCUCUAGCCGCGCCCCAACNNNNNNNNNNNNNNNNNNNNNNNNNNNNNNNNNNNNNNNNNNNNNNNNNNNNNNNNNNNNNNNNNNNNNNNNNNNNNNNNNNNNNNNNNNNNNNNNNNNNNNNNNNNNNNNNNNNNNNNNNNNNNNNNNNNNNNNNNNNNNNNNNNNNNNNNNNNNNNNNNNNNNNNNNNNNNNNNNNNNNNNNNNNNNNNNNNNNNNNNNNNNNNNNNNNNNNNNNNNNNNNNNNNNNNNNNNNNNNNNNNNNNNNNNNNNNNNNNNNNNNNNNNNNNNNNNNNNNAAAUCGGCCCAGUCACGCCCCCAUGAGUCUGUUUUUCGCUGGGUUGGGCCGAAAUAACAGCCGGCGUACCCGAGCCCAACCCGGCGCGCUGGGGGCGCCGGCAUAAGCGAAAAGGGGCGUGGGGCCGCUCUGUCGGCGAGUUGAGAGCCUUUUCCCACAGUUUCUUCCCGCUUUCCCCCAGGCUUUCCUCUCAUUCUCUCCAUUCCUCCCGCCAAUCUCCCUCCUCCCCUCCCAGCCGGCCGCCAUGCCGCCGAAAAAGUACGUGCUCCCUCGUGCCGCGACAGCUGCGACCGCUGCCGUCGCCCAGCCGAAGCAGAGGAAGCCGAGGGCGCCGCCGUCUAAGCCAUCGGGCAUGUCCAACGCCGACCAGAGGGCGGAAGUUCAGCGUCGGGAGGCUGUCACCACCGACCGGCGAAACAGGGCCAACGCCAAGAAGGCCCGGGACAGCGUGGCGCUUGCGGCUGCGGCUGCGGCGGAUCAAGCGGAGCGCUCGGCCGAAUAAGCCGAGGCGGCUCGCGUGGGGAUGAUGAAUCCACCCGGCGGCCACGCCCAGUAAGCGCCCUGGAGCCAGCAAAGCGUCGGUUCUCCGGCCGGCUUCUCGUCGUCACCGCAACCCUGGGGAUGCACGCGUCGCCGGGCUACGUCGAGACGGGGACGCGCACGGUGGGUUCAACCCCAACGUCACCUUCCCCCAUGGUCACCCGGCCCAGCGCACGCCCUUGCCCGCCUUCGCCGGCAUGCAGUACCCUCCAUACAACUACUCACCGCCGGCCUAAGCGUCCUCCCCGACACCCCCCUCUCCGCCGUGGCGUGCUUCUCUUCUCACAAGCUUCCACGUCGCACCUCGGCGACACCGACGCGACCGAAGCCGACAUGGACGACAUCAUCACGGCAGGCUCGGCCGCCGCCGCCGCGUCCCCGAGUUCACUACCCAGGACGACAUGAUGGACCUCAACGGCAACAUGGACGGUGAGGAGGAGCCGGACGAGCAAGAAGAGGAGGAGGAGGAGCCGGACGAGCAGGAAGAGGAGGAGGAGGAGCCGACGCCUGUUCCGGCGAGGAGACACAAGAAGAAGAAGGGGGCGGCCAGGACCGGCGAGCCGCACAUCAAGUGGGCGUCUAAGGAGCAGGAAUGUCUCGUCGAAGCAUGGAAAGUCGUCUGCCUCGACUCGAUCACCGGCACGAACCAGAGCAUCGAGACGUACUGGGAGCGCAUCAAGGCCGAGUUCAAUGAGCGCAAGCUCGUCGACCCCUACUUCAAAGGCGUCUACAUGCAGCACGGGUCGAAGGCAAUGGCGAACCAUUGGGAGCUCAUCCAGUCGGCGUGCAACAAAUGGCGUGGGACCGUUGAGGAGAUCGUGGCUCGCCCGGAGAAGGGCGCCAGCAUUGAGGAUCAGGUAUGGCACGCCGGUCUCCCACUUCUUUUCGCCGUGCGUGCCCGCCAACUGUUUGUUCCUCGGCGCAGCUGCUGCGCAUGUUCGCCAUGUAUCGCCAGGACAACAGCGACCAAGAAUUCAAGUACCUCCACGUCUUCAAGCGGAUCGAGAAGUGCCAGAAGAGGGCGGAUGUCCGGCGCACCCUCGCCAAGGCCAAGGAGACCUACAAGCCGGACGCGCCGACGCCGGGCGCGGGCGACGGGCGCCUCGAAGGCAACAAAGGGGCCAAGAAGGGGAAACACACCGACUCGCUACCGCGCGAGUGCAGUAGUCCAUCGAGCAUUGCCUCGCCAAAGCAUAGGCCCGGGCCGCCCUACGUGAAGAGAAGACCGAGGCGCGGUGGUCGGCGUUGAUGACGAACAUCGCCGUCAUGCUCGACCUACUCCGGACCAACGUCGCCGCGAAGAAGAGGAGCACCGACCUGGCUUUCCUGCUGGGCGGGGCGGACAUGCUCCAGAGCAACGACGAGCAGGUCAAGGCGUGGUACUUGGCGGAGCGUGGCCUCGUCCUGAACCAGCUGUCGUCGACGGCGCCACCAACUCCCACGCCCACGCCGACGACGCCGCCAAACCCGAGCAAUGAUGCAUCCACGACGCCCAGCAGCACAGAAGCCGCGCCGACGUUGCCCAGCACAGAAACAGCUCCGACACCGCUAAGCUCGCGCACGCCGACUCCGCCGACGCCGGAGGCCGACCCCGCCGUGUGAUGCGUUGCGCACGCGUCCUUUCUUUUUUGUAUGCCGAACUUUUCAUCCGAUUGCCGAACUGUGGCCGCUGAUCGCCGGACUUGUGGCGUUUUUUGUGAGCGGGAAUGACCAAGUUUGAAUUUGCCGUGACUUGAGGGGUGGCGCUUGAGGGCGUGGCUGGGAGCUAGGUUACCCUCAGACUGCUCUUUUUCGGUGCCCUGGAAGCCGAACGGCUGGAGAUGCUUUAAUGUGUGCCCUCCUCUGCCACCACCCCUUCACUGCCGGUGGUGAUUACCGCCGAGUCAAGACCGUGUGUUAGGCGAAGGUGGGCCUUCGCACUUCCCAUCCGGCGCAAUGGCGUGCCAGGUCGUCUCAAAAGUGGCGGCUAGGUCUCAGCACCUCACCUUCGUCUGCACGUGACACGUGCAAACGAAGGUGUUCCUAAGUCAGACGAAGCUAGAACAAAAGUUCGAUGGGGUCCGCUUAUACAAAUGAACACUGAUUUAGUGAAGGUUUUACUAAGUAUUACUCCCUCCGUUUCAAAUUACUUAUCGUCGUUUUAGUUCAAAUUUUAACUAAAACCACGACAAGUAAUUUGGAACGGAGGAAGUAGUAGUGUCAGCUGACAUUUUAUUUAUGUAGCAGCUCUGUCCCUGGCUUGGUUGGGUGACCAUAGGCUCAUCGUGCAUGGUUCCAUGGGUGGUGAGCUGCCGUGCCGACCAUCCGUGUUCUGCGGUCUACGCUUUCGGAAGCUAUAGCGGAGUCGCCAGUCUCCAGGCGCGAUAAGGGGGAACCCCCUUCACGUCCUGUUUUUUGUAUGGGUCAGCCCAUUCUUGUGUUACAACCCAACCUGUUUUUUUGGUUCUUUCGGUUUCGUUUUCUUUUAGGUUCCCUUUUUUGUUUCCUUUUAUGUUUUUCUUUUUUCAUUUUUAUUCUUGUUUUUUCAUUUUGCGAAUCAAAUUCAUGAACGUUUUCUGAAAUUAUGAAAAAUAAAUAAAUUCAUGAACAUAUUUUGGAAAUCAUAAAAAAAAUCACAAAUUUGCAAACAUUCUUUUAAAGUUACUAAUAAAUUUUCAAAAUCAUGAACAUUUGUACAAAUUCGUGAACAUUCUGCUAAUCAUGAACAUUUUUUUGAAUUCAUGAACAAUUUUUUGAAAUCAUGAAUAUUUUUAAAUUUGUGAACAUUCUCUUAAAUCAUGAUUUCUUUUUGAAUUUGCAAAUAUAUUUUGGAAUCAUGAACAUGUUUUGGAAUUGUGAAGAAUUUUUCUAUUCGGUAGAACAAAUUGAAUUCCGGAACAUUUUUUAAAAUCAUGAGCAUUUUUAUAAUAAAAUUUUCAUUUUUUUUAAAGUAGUACUUUUUAAUACAACGAAUUAUUGAAAAAAUGAGAAAAAACUAAAGGAAAAAAAAACAGCUGGUGUCCUACCGACACAUGGGCCGGCCCAGAAGGCCGCGAAGCGGAGAAGGGUGCGUGCGCGACUGGUUUCCGGCGCGCGAAUCGCCGAAUAAGAGGUCAUGCGCAGUGAGUGAUGACGAUGACACAGUGUUGGACAUCUUGCGACCUUCUUUAGUGUAUUUUGAGUAUAUGUUAUGUUUCUUGCCUCGGCUUGGUAGACAUGCGGUGCUCGAGGCCUGGUAACUAUGCCUGCCUGUUGUUCUUGUUUGGGUUUUCGCAUGGUUUUCCGAAAUGAAUUGGACAACUCUCCUCAUAAUGUAAUGCGGGAACUCCCUGCUCUUGAUUGGCAAAAAAAGAUUCUAGAAAAAACACAAAUUGAAGGGGUAACUAGACCUAGCUACCGCGACCAGGCAACUCGCGUACAAGCAUUGCUGCCAACCAACAAUGUCGUCGGAUCCCUCCGCCGCCGCCACCCCUUCCCCCGUUGUACCUUCCUCCAUCGCCGCACCUUUCUCCCCUCGUCACCGCUGAGGUGCCCUCCGGCAAUGUCCGGAUGGCUCCGAGGAAGGCGGUGGCGGGGCCCUUCUCCGACUGGUCGCGGGCGUACACCUUGGUGCGUGGCACGCAGAUCGGGCCCAGAUCAGGCAGGAUGGUAGCAUGGCGAGGUAGGGAGUGCGGCAACCACGGAGCUGCGGCUCAUGGCGCCAGUGUUUCCUGGCUUCGGCUUGGAGGGAGUGGAUCAGUCGGCGGCUGUUGACCCGGAUGCCGAUUUGGUAGCGGCCUACUGGACAACGUGAGGAUACACCGAGCAUGGUUGACCAAGGGACAACACGUGUGGGAUUCAGGCACUAGUACCCAUUUAACGGUGGUGAUGGCGGUUGCCGUUGUAUGGGCGAUGACAGCAGCUGGCGUGACGGUGGGUGCUCCUGUAGCACCCCAAAUCGAGGCGGCGACCCAUCUUCUUUGACGGCGACAGAAUCCGUGGUUGUGUGGGCUACACGGGAGACCAUAUCUCGAGGAGGUGACGACCUUUCUGAGGCUGGCGGAAGUAUUGGACAUCCCCUCCAUCAAAAGACCGGGUUCAAUGUGGCUUGGUAGGUGACACAUGUGUUUCUUUUGGAGACGUCGAGCAAUGCGUGUAGCCGGUGGGUGAAGCCCCUGACAGAUACACCGAUCGACGCGGAUGCUAUGCAUGACAUCUCAUGCGGAGGCGUCAAGUCAUGCCUACAACCGGCAAGUGAUGCAUGGUGGCUCUGGUGGAGGUGUCAUGUUUAUCCUGUUGCUGCUGGAUCGAAGGUGGUGCGACAGUGGCGGGAGGCAUGCAGUAUGGGACGUCCUUGUCUUCCGGUGUCUUCUCCAGAGGUAUAUAGUUAUUGAGGUGUCGGUUGCUGGAUAAGGACUGAUGGUAUAGACGGCUUUAACGACGAGUUUAUGCACUCCGGAGGCAACACAAGAUCUCUGCUCAGGCUACGUUUCGGCAUGCCUGCGUCGUGAUCAUGCUGAAUAUGGUGGAUUGGAACUUGGCUUUGGGGAUGCGAAUCCGGAGUUCAACCUUGUGUUCGACUCGCCAUCAUCGGCGCAUGUGCGAUAAUUCCUUGUUGAAGGCAUAGCCUGGGAGUUGUAUAUUUUUCGUUUUGAUGUUGUAUUGUAACAUAGGGUUAGUGGCUAUCUGAUGGAGUUACCGUGGCGAGGCAUACAACCUCAUAUUUUUUUCGCUUUAUUUCUAGGUCGAUGUUAUUCGGCUGUUGGAUUUUGCAUUCUUAAUAAUAUAUGGCUAGAUGCAUCGUGCUGGCGUAGAAGGCCGAGGGUUCUCCUUCUUUUCAAAAAUAACUAGACUAUAAGAAUUUUAGAGUAAAAAAGUGCCAUUCAAUCUAAUUAGUGAACUUUCUCAAAAGAAAAAUAGUGUACUUACCUUCGUUAGAACGACAGGCAACUUCUUAUAUUCCUUGUAAUCCCCCAAGUCAAGGUCGGAGACUUUGAUAUCUUCGGCCACCAUUGUGUACCACACAAAGACUUCGUCAUUGAACUGCACGUCUUUUACUGCAUCUUCCUUUUCUUUUCUUGUUAGUCUGAGCCAUUGUGUGGACCGUGGUGGCAUGACCAAUAAGGAACUGGUUACGGAGUACAUUUUGGAGUUUUCUUCCGGCACUAAAGUCAAGGCUAUACUGACAUACAGAUCUGUAAUGUUGAUUAUUUUAACUGAGGAUAACACCUUUUUAUCUGGCACUAAGGGAAAGCAGAGAUCGGGGGGAUCAAUCUGGAUCACCUCAUCUGAGGUAGAUGCACUUAUCUGCAAAAGAAUACCACAACCAUGGAUAAAUGGGCCUAUUAGAAACACUCAAUUAUCCAAACAUUAACUUUCAGGCUAAAUUAAUAUCUAUAUUUAAAUUGGCAAUUCUAACUUUCAAGUUUUGUUUCAACUAUAGCCCAUUUCACUUUGUUUGAGAUAAAUUUCCAGCUUGUUUUCCUUUCAACAGCUUCAUACUCCCUCCGUCCAAAAUAAGUGACUCAAGUUUGUACACUAUCCAGAAGUAAAAAAGUAUCAAGUCAAAUAGGGGUCAUUCUAUCUCUUUUUGGUAAGUGCAAUUUGUGAAAACAUCACCUGCACAUCGGUGUUUCCUUUCAAAUUAGAGUAAAAACCAGGGACAAAACUGAGACCGUGAAAACAAGAGGACAUUUUUUAUUCCUGGAACACUAAUCAUCAGGCAUCACAAGACUGAUGAUGCCAACCAUUUGAAUCUUCAGGUCUAGGGUACAUCCGUUAUUUUAUUCUUAACAAAAUAGUGAUGCAGUGGAAUUAAUUAACAGGGAAAGUAGGUGUCAUAAUGAACCAGGCACACUGCUGCCAGACAUAUGGAUCUUGUUUUCAACAGAGAUUAGCAGCUAGUCAGCUUGUCUACUUAAAAAGGUAAUCUAAACAUGUAUAAAACUGAUAGAUGAUAUAAUCAAACCAAAUAAAUAACAUUCAAGAUUAUGUUCUUAGCAAAAAAAAAACACAUAUUUAGUCUCCCCAAUGAUAAUUUUUAACUUAUCUACAUAGUCAACUCAAGUAAAUCGCAAUGAGGAUUAGACUUUUGUUGUCAACCAGAAAACCAAUAUGGCACAUAUUUGGACUCUCUAUGUAAAAUAUUAAUUAGGUUAAUGUGCAUGAUGAUUAGUGUUCCAGGAUUGUAUGUAAAAUAUUAAUUAGGUUAAUUAAACAAGUGUAUGUUCUACUAAUGAAGGUGAUUAAAGACUUCACAAGUUUAAUUAAGUCACUAUGCUCACCUUGGAUUCUGCCUCAGUUGACAGCACUGUGGAUACAUGUGGACCGUGCAAAAUUCUUGUGUCUGAAAUUAUAGGCGACCCAAGUGGCACAUCCACUUGGGGUUCCUCGGCCUUAUAUGCAAUCGUCAGUUUCACCUCAUCCACCAAUUUACCCUCCUCUCUUCUAAAUAAAUCUUCAGUUAUGUCCUCAAGAUUCUCAUUCACUAUGGUGCUCCGCACAAUAAAAUCACCAGUGUAGUUGUCUUCUGGUGCCUUGUCUAGUGGUUGCAUUGUUAUGUUGACACCAAACUUCGAUCGUGGAGCCACAAAGCCUUUAUUUGGUUGUAUACAGUAUUGCAGGGGGCUUGUGGUUUUGAUGAUGAAUGCAAUAAAAUCAUAUGUCUCAUUGGUUAGCUUAAGUGAGCAUGAUAUCUGACUGUUGAGCUCAAAAGGAAAGCAUAACUUGAGCGGCUCAAUCCCAAGCAUGUCAUCCUCCAAGUAGGGGCUUAUCUGUAAGAACAAACCAAGAUGCCUUGCGACAGUGAGAUAUGCAUUUCCUAAAAUCUCAUAAGCUUUGUGUUCAUUAAGGUGGAAACUUCUACAAUUAGAAUAGUAGGAAUAAGGUAAUGGAUUAUUUUAAUUAUAAUAAAAUGUUUGGAUUAGCGUUGAUGGAAAUAAAACACCAGGUCAUGGUAAUAGGCACACUCUCUUGCCUGUAUAAUAUCACUUUCAAUUUUUUUUUCAUAUAGGAGUGCUUAGAAGAAAGAAUGCAUCCACGCAUAUAUCUAAGAGUCCUCUCCCACAAUGUAGGAUCCACUUUCUUGGUUUCUCGUGUGCAUUUACAUGUACGUAUGGCUUCCCUAAGGACCAUGUCACGUAGACUUUGCUUCCAUGUUCUCUCUUUGAAACAAAACAAUGAUAUCUAAAGAACAAUGUAGGAACAAUUGGAGUGUUAUUCUAUUGAAGUUAUGAGUAGCACAUGAACUUACCUGCCCUAUCGUAGAUUCAGUUGCAUUGCUGAUUCUACUUUUUUCGUUUGUAUUGCUGAUUUUACUAUCUGUGCUUGCUAGUUCAUUGAUAACACGUAUUAUAUCUGAUAUAAAAGGCCUUUUAUAGGGAUCAUCAUGUUGGCAGAGUAGCCCAAUCUCGAUGAGUUUCUCUAUCUGUUGGCAUCUGAAUACAGUUUCUUUCCCUGAUUUAUGCAAUCUAUGCCUCCAUCUUCUACGUACCUGCCAUUUGACAAAGCUGAUAUAGUGACAAAAUAUUCAGUUCCCAUGAUUUGUAUAAGCAUAGGGUAGACAAACCAUGUCGGCACGGUUCUAGAAUCAAGACCCAUUAUGCUAACACGUAUGUACGUAUAAUGAUUUUAGACCUCUUUUAAAGUGUGGCACCAUGAAAAAUUCAAUAUGCCAUCCAAUGCUUGCAAUGCAAAUUAAGUAGAACUACAUUAGAGAUGCAAAUUUCUAUUCUGUUAAAACACUUAUGGGAUGCUUAAUCACUACUUAGCUUAUUUCCCCUUUGAUUAAAUUAAUGGAUUUUAAACACUUGAAUGAGUAUAUUCGGUUGUUGACCAAGUUAGUCGACAUUAGAUCUGUAAUUGGGCACAUAUUAGACAUGUCACAAGAUGAAUAAAGUUACAAGGUUUCGGACCGGGGGUACCUUGUCUAGACUCGCUGAUGGAGUUGGUUGGCCGUGGGGAAGAAAAGUCCACCAGUGCAUCUCGCAGGGUGGUCGGGUGUGGAUGAGCGCGCGUGGUCAGGCUGCUGCUACCUUUUCAUUUCUUGACCACGUCGAUUUUAAAGUUGUAUAACACAACAAAUCGUAUGCAUCUAUAUAUGAUCAGGGCCGAUCCUGAGAUUUCAGGGGCCCGGGGCGAAAAUACAACUGGGAGACCCUUUAUAUAUCAAAAAUUAUAAUCAUUAUGUGCAUGUUUAGAUAAAUUUUAAACAUGAAUUGUUGUUAUAUUUUUUAUCAUGUUGUGCAAAACCAGCAGGUCGACCUAGUUCCAGGUUCUAAUUAUAUAUUAUUAUAAUUAUUAUUUCUCACUUUUGCUAAGAUUUUGACAGGGAAGUUUCAUGCAUUGUAUAUUUCAGUUUGGCAAACAAAAAGUAAUUUGAACUGCUCUUGGUGGCACGCAGGCAGAAUAGCUUCAUAAUUUGCAACAGUAAAAAUUAAAAAUUUUAGCAACUAAAAAUUAAUUUUGCCACCUAAUCAUAUUAUCAUUAUCCCAUCGAUUCUAGACAUCCUCUCCCCUCAUCUUUCAUCGAUCUCAACACAACCAGAUUAAUUAAUCGCAAGGAUUGCAUUAAUAAAAAUUAGUCAGAAGGACAACUACGUCCAACUCGAUCUUCUCCGCUAAUUCACUAGAUCUAAUAAUUCUGCCACCAAGUCACAUAUCAAUCUUGUUAGCUCUGUUGGAUGAUGCAUCAGGAAGAUGCUAAUCUGAUCUCUGUAGUUUAAAACUGCCUGCCAGGGUCGGUGGUGUUGUUACUCCUGUCCAUGGCAAUGAACAUGAAAUUACUUGAUCAGCCCUUGGACGAGAAAUCAUCGGGGGAGGCCUCCGCGGGAGGAGGCUGUGUCGGCGUCUGGGAUAUGUCGCGAGGUCAAUCGCUCAUGUCAUCAUGCGCGGACCUGCGCUAGGGAAACGGAAGUUCCACCAAUUUAGCUAAUCGCUGAUUUUACUUGCCCACAGGCAACGUUCGCUGUACGCUACAUAUACAGGUCUGUUGCAUCAAAAUUAGCCUAGAAUCAUUUUUUUUCUUAUGGGCCGGAUACAGAGAGCACACGUACAUGGGGGCCCCUAAAUUUCGGGGGCCCGGGGCAGCCGCCCCCCUGCCCCCCCAUCCGGGCGGUGCCUGUAUAUGAUAAAUGCAAAAAAAACAGAAGCCUGUAUAUGUUGGAAAUAUUAGCACUUUUCCUACUAAUCUAAUCCACGAGUAAACGGUAAGCAUGGCAAAUACGGUAUGCAUCUUAUACCGAUACCUAAGCAUGUGAGCACGUACAGUAUAUAGAACCAAAACAUCUAUGAACAACAUAUAUACGGCUUGCACAUGUACGAGCAAAUAUGGGAUGAACGAGUCAUACCCUCCGGUUGGCCAGGCCAACGCGGUGGCGGUAGCAGCAGCCUCGGCAUCAGCCAAGGCCUUCUUCUUGGCGACUUCGUCGUCAGCCAUGGAGUCGAUGUAGAGGAAGUAGUGGAAGCAGAGGCGGAUGAAGACGGGGACGGAUCGGGAGCAGUCGCGUCGAGACGCUCCCCAAAAACCUUAUUGCCGUUCUCCCGGGCAGGAUCUCGAACGACAGGGUUCUGGAGGCACCUGCUCUCCCGACCAACCGUGCAUGCGGUCGUCGGGAUGGCAUCGCCGGAAGCAGCACACCGAGAGGAACAGUAGAUGACGGCUAGGGUUGUACGAGAGGGAGUGAGUGAACUGAGUUAGGGUUCACUCCACUGGGCAGCGCCUUCUUAUAUAGGCCGUCAGGUGGAUGGGCCUGGGCCAGGCCCACGACCGAGUCCGCGAACAGCCCACGGUCCAACGUCUCGGACAGUGGCGCUUCCGUAAGCGACUCGUUAAUUAAUUAACAAUUAAUUAACCAUUCCUGAGCGGCAAAAAUAAGCUCCGGCUCAACUCAUUCCAGCAACCCGCGGCGCGCGCGCGCGUCGUGACAAGGCGAGGCGGGCGGCGGAGGAGGAGGAGCGUGCGUGUACAGCUCCUAUUCCCAAGCUCCCAAUAGCAAGUGGUAGAGCGGCCCUUAUAAAGAGGUCUCACUCUUCUUACUGUAGCAGUAUGGGACUAAAUUUCCCACACUUCCCACCACUUGUCGUACACACAUGCAUGGGCCUUAGAGAUUAACUAGGGAUUAUUGUCUUAUAUGGGCCUAAGCCCAUCCAUAAUCCAUCAAUCCCCCACCAGAUCUCGAGGCACAUAAGUUUGUCAACUGUUCCAAACAAUGUUUGAUAUACCAGAAUUUUCAGUGGAGACUGUUAAGUUGAACUUCCACCUAGAGCAAUAGGAUUAGACUUCUUCACAACUGAACAAUGGACUAUGCCUUGAAUUGCCAGUUUGGCAUGAAGUUUCGCCUAUUGUCGCUGAUAUGUGGCUGCCGAAGGCUAAACCCCACGGCAUAGUCCAUGACUGACCAGCAGUCGGGCUCACAUAUGUGUGUUCCUCCAAAGAAUGCUCUGUAGGUUAGCAUAUUGCUUACAUAAGCUUUGGAACACAUUAAGACAAAAGUCAGGCUGCCUUACAGAAUUGAGAGUAUUAUUGCAUCUCCAACGGAGUGAGAUAAUUAAGGAUACUCUCCUCAGUUGACCGCUGGAUUGUUUUCCCAGGUCCUAAUUCACGGGAUCUCCGAUCACAUAGGUUGGGUUACCCCCAUGGCAACUUACGUGGGUCUCAUACCCAUCUCCCUCGAUGCAUUUUCUAUCACAAUCCGUGAUAGGCCUUUCGUAAAAGGGUCUGCCAGAUUCUUAGCCGUCUGGAUAUAAUCCAACGCUAUUACUCCGGAGUUUCUUGAUUUUCUGACAGAUUUCAAUCUUCUUCUUAUGUGCUUUGUGGAUUUCAUGUUGUCCUUUGAACUCUUAGCCUUGGCAAUCACUGUUUGAUUGUCACAGUUCAUAAGGACAGCCGGCACUGGUUUAUCAACCACCGGCAAAUCCAUCAAAAGCUCUCGAAGCCAUUCUGCUUCGACGCAUGAUGUGUCUAAUGCUGUGAGUUCUGCUUCCAUAGUCGAUCUGGUUAAGAUCGUCUGCUUGCAAGACUUCCAGGAAACAACACCGCCACCAAGUGUGAAGACAUGUCCGCUUGUGGCUUUCAUCUCAUCAGCAUCAGAUAUCCAAUUUGAAUCACUAUACCCCUCAAGUACUGUCGGGUACCCAGAAUAGUGAAUCCCAUAGUUCGCAGUACCUUGCAAGUAACGCAUCACUCGCUCAACAGCAUGCCAAUGCACAUCUCCCGGAUUGGAAACAAACUGGCUUAGUUUGCACACAUCAAAUGAGAUGUCAGGACGAGUAGCACAUGCUACGUACAUCAGUGAACCAACCACUUGAGAAUAUCUCAAUUGAUCUACAGCCGUGCCUUCAAACUUUUGAAUCCGCACGCUAGGAUCAUAUGGUGUUGCAGAAGGUUUGCAGUCCGAAUAUCCAAAACGGCUCAAAAUCUUUUCAACAUAGUGGGAUUGCAAAAGUGUAAUUCCACCCUCAGUAUUUCUCAGUAGCUUGAUGUUCAAGAUAACAUCAGCCACGCCCAGGUCUUUCAUCUCAAAGUUAUGAGAUAGAAAAGCCUUGACCUCCUCAAUUACUUUGAGGUGGGUCCCAAAUAUCAGUAUGUCAUCAACAUACAGACACAGUAUAACUCCUUCGUCCCCACCAUAGCGAUAGUAUACACAUUUGUCAGCUUCGUAUACAACAAAGCCAGCAGAUGUCAAAGUUGUAUUAAACUUCUCAUGCCAUUGCUUAGGCGCUUGUUUCAGGCCAUACAAAGAUUUUACUAACUUACACACCUUUCUUUCCUGACCAUUUACUACAAAGCCAUCUGGCUGUUGCAUGUAAAUUUCCUCGUCUAGCUCUCCGUUAAGGAAAGCCGUCUUAACGUCCAUCUAAUGAACGAGAAGACCAUGCGAGGCAGCCAAAGCGAGUAACACUCGAAUGGUUGUCAGCCUAGCUACAGGUGAGUAAGUAUCAAAGAAAUCAUCUUCUUCCUUUUGGGUAUAACCCUUGGCCACAAGCCUAGCCUUGUACUUCUCAACAGUACCAUCAGGCCUAAGCUUCCUCUUGAACACCCACUUACAUCCCAAUGGUUGGCAACCAUAAGGACGAUCAGUGAUCUCCCAUGUCCCGUUAGCCAUGAUGGAAUCCAUCUCACUACGGACAGCAUCCUUCCAGUAGUCAGCAUCUGGAGAUGCAUAAGCUUCUGAAAUGGAACUGGGAGUGUCAUCAUCCACGAGGUACACGAGGAAAUCAUCACCAAAAUACUUUGCAGUCUUUGUCUCUUGCUCCUAACAGAAGCUUCCUCGUCAUCCUCUGAUGAACUUUCAUCACUUUUGUGUUCAUAAUAUUCCAUUGGAAUGGCAGGUUCAGGAGUCUCAUCAGAUUCCAGUUUAGAACUGCUUUGCAUAUCUCUCAUGGGGAAAAUAUCCUCAAAGAAUGUAGCAUCCUUAGACUAUAUAAUUGUACCGACCUUCUGGUCAGGUACCUCAGAUUUCACCACUAGAAAUCUAUAGCCAACGCUAUUCUUAGCGUAGCCCAACUUAACGCAGUCCAUGGUCUUUGGUCCAAGCUUACGCUUUUUGGGGAUCGACACAUUGACUUUCGCCAAACAGCCCCAAGUGCGCAAGUAAGAGAGUGUAGUUCUUUUCUUUUCCCAUUGCUCAUAGGGAGUAGUCUCAUUAUCCUUCGCGGGAACUUUAUUCAGGACAUGACAUGAUGUCAAUACAGCCUCCCCCCACCAUGCCUUGGAUAAAUCCAAUGUAUCUAACAUGGCGUUAGCCAAAUCUGUUAGAGUGCGGUUUUUUCGUUCGGCAACCCCAUUUGACUGGGGUGAAUAGGGAGGCGUCCUUUCAUGAAUAAUACCAUGUUCCACACAGAAUAAAUCAAACUCACUAGAAAAGUACUCUCCACCACGAUCAGACCAGACUCGUUUAAUUUUUUUCUCAAGUUGGUUCUCAACUUCAGCCUUAUAGAUUUUAAAGUAAUGUAGAGCCUCAUCCUUUGUAUUUAACAAAUACACAUAACAGAACCUAGUGGAAUCAUCAAUCAAAGUCAUGAAAUAUUUCUUUCCACCUUUAGUCAACACACCAUUCAUCUCACAGAGAUCUGAAUGUAUGAGCUCUAGUGGUGCCAGGUGUCUCUCCUUCACAGGCUUGUGAGGCUUACGAGGUUGCUUUGCUUGCACACACGCAUGGCACUUAGAGCCUUUGGCUAAAGUGAAACUCGGAAUUAGAUUCAUCUUAGCCAGCCGCGUCAUACAACCGAAAUUUAUGUGACAAAGACGUGAAUGCCAAACCUCACAAUCGUUCAUAUUAGAAUGAAUUUAGUUCACAACUUUAUUACAGAAAUCCUCCAGGGAAAGGCGGAACAAACCACCACAAUCAUAUCCUUUUCCAACAAAUAGUCCAUACCGAGAUACGACUACUUUGUUAGACUCAAAUACUAACUUAAACCCUUCUUUACAUAGAAGAGAGCCACUAACGAGAUUCUUCUUGAUGGCGGGGACAUGCUGCACGUUCUUCAGUUGCACGAUCUUUCCCGAAGUAAACUUCAGAUCUACCGUGCCAACACCAUGAACAGAAGCAUGCGAGCCAUUCCCCAUCAGGACGGAACAAUCUCGUGCGACCUGGUAGGAAGAAAACAAAGACACAUCAGCACACACAUGAAUAUUGGCCCCAGUGUCAACCCACCAAUUAGUGGACUGACAAACUGAAAGUAUGAUAAAUAGAUUACCAUACCCAGAUGCCGCAUCAUUGUUGCUCAGAGUGACAUUCACAGACUUGGAGUCCUGUGAUGGCUUCUUAUACUUGUUUGGGCACUUGUUUGCUCAAUAUUCAUCUGAACCACAAGUAAAGCAACCAUCUCUCUUUUUGUCUUUUUUCUUACCCUUCUUCUUAAAGGUAGUAUUCUGCUGGACAGAGUUCUUUCCCUUGAACUUGUGGAAGUUCUUCUGCACCACAUUGGCGCUAGAAGAACCCUCUGCCCCUUUCACGUGUGAGUCCUUUGCUCUCGAGUUCUGCUCAACACUUAGAUGACCGAUGACAUCCUCAACAGAGAAUUCACGUCUCAAGUGCUUCAGAGAAGUAGCAAAGUUCCUCCAUCCAGGAGGGAGUUUUGCAAUAAUGCAACCCGCGACAAACUUGUCCGGUAACUCACACUUCAGGAGCUCCAGCUCCUUAGCGAUGCAUUGUAUCUCAUGGGCCUGGUCCAAUACAGAACGGUUAUCAACCAUUUUGUAAUCAUGGAACUGCUCCAUAGCAUACAACUCGCUUCCAGCAUCGGUUGCGCCGAACUUAGCUUCGAGCGCAUCUCACAAAUUCUUGGCAACGCGCAUAUGGAGAUAUGCGUCGACUAGCUUGUCUCCGAUCACAGUAAGAAUGGCUCCAACAAAGAUGGUGGUUGCCUUCCUAAACGCAUUCUCCUGUUCAGGAGCAAUCGUUACCGUGGGAGACAUACCGCCAACCCAGAACACGUUCAUUGUUGUGAGCCACAAGGUAGUCCUCGUCUGCCAACGCUUAAAAUGCGUUCCAGUAAACUUUUUCGGUUUUAGAGUGGCGGUGAAGCCAUGAGUCGAAAAGUGCCUAAAAUAAGGUUUUUGGAUUGUUGGAAAUAUUAGCACCUUUUCUACUAAUCUAAUCCACGAGUAAACGCUAAGCAUGGCAAAUACGGUAUGCAUCUCAUACCGAUACCUAAGCAUGUUGAACAGCAUAUAUACGGCCAGGCCCACGACCGAGUCUGCGAACAGCCCACGGUCCAACGUCUCGGACAGUGGCGCUUCCGUAAGCGACUUGUUAAAUAAUUAACAAUUAAUUAACCAUUCCUGAGCGUGAUGUGACGUGACGUGACGAGACGAGGCGAAGCGGGCGGCGGAGGAGGAGGAGCGCGCGUGUACAGCUCCUAUUCCCAAGCUUCCAAUAGCAAGUGGUAGAGCAGCCCUUAUAAAGAGGUCUCACUCUUCUUACUGUAGCAGUAUGGGACUAAAUUUUUCACACUUUCCACAACUUAACGUACACAUGCAUGGGUCUUAGAGAUUAACUAGGGAUUAUUGUCUUAUAUAGGCCUAAGCCCAUCCAUAAUCCAUCAGUAUAAACCCAAUAGCAUGAAAAAAGAAACAAGUUGAGGUAGGUAUAUGCCCGAUGGCAGCAUACUAGCAUACCAGUACGUACUCUCUAUGUAAAGAAAUAUAAGAGCGUUUAGACUUACAUGGUAUGGCUAGCUAGUGAUAACAUAACACAAACUCAAUUGCAGCAUACAUGAGCUAAUUAAUGAAGGAAACAGAAAAAAAGAUUGGGAGAGGAGAGACAUUCAGACAUAGUGGGUGAAAAAGAUCGAGAGAGAGACAGAGGGGAUAAGUGCGCACGCCCAUGUGCAGCCCUCUCGAUCUUGCAGCGCGCUCUGGUCGGCGCAGUCAGGGAGGACUGAGCCUUUCUCGUAGCCUGUGAAAAUUAGUACUACGUAGUACAUCGUGAGAUGUAUCCUAGUACAUGUUGUGUCUGGUGACGGAUUACUUAAUAUUCCACUCUGACAGACUGCCUAUAUAUAACCGCAAAAAAACAUAAAUAAGACAGACUGCAUAUAUAUGUUGAGAUACCACACCUUUAUAUAUUAUAUGCAGUGAUACGCGUGCAGGCCAUGUGUGAUCUAUCUCAACUGAUGGACAUGGAAGGGGAUCCAAAGGCUUCACGACAAGCAAUUCAUGCACAUAUUAUAUAAUAUUGGCAACAGGUUUCACAUUCAGACCCCAACUUGGUAGAUCUAUCAUCGAAAUCAAAAUCUUCUUUCCCUCAAGAAAAAAAAACUUCUGUCCGGCUACACAUCCACGCCCUAAAUUUCUAGAAUUUUCCCCCUCAAAACAAGAACUUCCUAGAAUUGUCAUCAGCUGAUCAGUUAGGAUGUAGAUAAGGCCCACGCUUUGUGCAGUGGAAUGAGAAUAGCCAUAAAACAGAAAUACUCCCUACCUACUCACUCCGUCUUAAAAUAAGUGUCUUAAGCUUAGUAUAAAUUUGUAUUAAAGUUAGUACAAACUUGAGACUCUUAUUUUGGGACGGAGGCAGUAUUAUUUUUUUACAGAGAAAGUAGUACACAAACUCAACAAAGAUUUUUUUAUUUUUGGAUAUUGAUCGAUUCACCCGACUACUGUGUUUUUAUUAUGAAAAGAAGACUAGAGAAGGGUAGAAACCAUGGAGAUGUGCGUGAUGGUGUUUGCAAGGGAAUAAAAUAAAAACAAGGAUAUCAUGAAACAUAAAUGCAUGCAACAGUGGAACCUAUCCGGUCCACAAGAAAGAUAUCAACUUCGUCGAAACCAAAGCCCGCACAAAAAAAAAUCAUUGAAAGCCACACGAAUAAAAGUUUGAUGAUGCACGCGUUGAGAGCGCCUUCUUCCGUGCACAAGUGCUACGUGUAGCUCAUUGUGAAUGUUAAGCCUCUGACCGCUCACUGGCGUAGGAAAUAGGCAAGCCCAUUAGGAAAGCAAGUGAGCGAGACGUUACGACAGGGUUUUAGGAAGGCUCCUCGCCGUUCUUGGGAACCUUCCAGAACCAGUAUCUUUUUUAUUUUACUGCUUUAUCCUUCUUUUUCUUUUGCGAGAAAAUUUUUGAUCUAUUCAUCUUCAAUCAUGGCAGUACAACGAAUACCAGAAAUAAUAAAAAUCACAUCUAGAUCCGUAGACCACCUAGCGACAACUACCAGCACUGAAGCGAGCCGAAGGCGCGCCGCCGUCAUCGCCCCUCCAUCACCGGAGUACCAGUAUUUUUUUUCUAUUUUACUGUUUUGGUUUCUUUUUAGUUUAAUUUGCAAGAUUCAAAAAAAGUUCUAAAUCUUCAAAAAUUCGUCAUAUUUUCAAGGAAGGAACUCCCUACUUAGCCGGCCCAGUAGAAAGUUCCUCCCGUGUUCUAUUUUGUUUGUUCUUUUUCCUUUCUGUUUUUUCUCCUUUUUACUUUAUUUAUAUUACAAAGUAUUUCAACUACACAUAUUAGAAAGAGAGAUGCCAAUACUGUCAGGGUUCUCUGGACAGCAUGCUUCACUUUAUGAGACAGUUAAGAGUUUUUUCAAAGCUUUCAUCUUUCAUAGUAGUACAUGUUUAUUAAUCAUGGAAUCUUUUGAUGAUGCCAUCAUGGCUUUCAUUUCAUUUAAGCAUUUGUGCUGUUGAUCCAUCAUAAUCUCUCUUUUUUUCGUGCAUUGUGCCGUUUGUGCAUGUGAAUGGAACAAGGAAUGGGAGUAUGGACCUCUGCCAUGGCAUGAUUUUAUUGGGCCUAAAAACGCUGUCAUGGCAGCCGAAAAUUCUUGCCUGACAGCCAAACUGAACCUGAGUUUAACUGAAACAAUCACCCCCUAAAUCAUUAUUGACGAGAGUCGAAAUUCUCCCUCUGCUGCACUUGGUGUUGCUUGGUCAGCCAUUCGUUUUAUCAUGAGGGGGGAAAACAAUGACAGUGCAUGAAUACUAAAAUCCUCCCUUCGAUUACAAAUACUUUGACGGAUCUCCAAUCGACACAAGAUCCCUAGGUUUAGCCUGCUGUUGACUAGUGGUGGAACAGGAAUUCUCAUCAAUAUGAGCCUCAGAAUUCUGGAAACUUGGUUGUGUUGCUUCCUCUGUUCUGACAUAAGAUGCGAUUCAUUCAACGAAGCGGAGCAGACGAGUAUCAUAUGGAGAAGGGUCCUUGGUUGUUCUCGAGCUUCGUAAACCUGCAAGCUUACAACAGACAAAGCACACAUUUAUAUGGUCGCAUCCUAAUGCCCUCACAGCCGUGCAACAUUUAAGUUGUUCAACGAUAAGUCACUUGGUUGGUGUCCAGUUUUUGAUCUCCUUUAUUAAGCACGAGUGCUAAAAGUUGUCCCAAGAGUGAGCUCGUAGUGUGGAGUUACUCUUCAUGAUCUAGAAUCUCUCUCAAUCACACAUACGUAUAUGGCUCCUCACUGGCCGCUGGCCAAGACCUCACCCUACCCCUAAAAUAUAUUUGCAUGUGUGGAGGCUUAUGUAUGUGUGGUUUGGUUGGGUAAAUGGAGGUAAGCAAACCUGAAUUUCAGUAAUUGCAAAGUUAAUUAAGUAUCCGAAACUAGUACAAUGAAGCCUUGUCGUUCCAGUCACCCGCGGGGGGGGGGGGGGGGAUAUAUGUCAAAAGGAAAAAGAGUUAUCGAGUGGCAGAAGUUGAUCUCUAGAAAUAGUGAUGCCAUCAUUAUCGGAUAUGGAUACCUCCAUUUUUGAAGGUAUGAAUUGUGCGCUAAUUGACUCCUCCCACUAAAAAAUCAGAGCCUCUUAAACUUUGAUUGCCAGCACUCCUUUUUCUNNNNNNNNNNNNNNNNNNNNNNNNNNNNNNNNNNNNNNNNNNNNNNNNNNNNNNNNNNNNNNNNNNNNNNNNNNNNNNNNNNNNNNNNNNNNNNNNNNNNNNNNNNNNNNNNNNNNNNNNNNNNNNNNNNNNNNNNNNNNNNNNNNNNNNNNNNNNNNNNNNNNNNNNNNNNNNNNNNNNNNNNNNNNNNNNNNNNNNNNNNNNNNNNNNNNNNNNNNNNNNNNNNNNNNNNNNNNNNNNNNNNNNNNNNNNNNNNNNNNNNNNNNNNNNNNNNNNNNNNNNNNNNNNNNNNNNNNNNNNNNNNNNNNNNNNNNNNNNNNNNNNNNNNNNNNNNNNNNNNNNNUGCAAAGUUAAUUAAGUAUCCGAAACUAGUACAAUGAAGCCUUGUCGUUCCAGUCACCCGCGGGAGGGGGGGGGGGGAUAUAUGUCAAAAGGAAAAAGAGUUAUCGAGUGGCAGAAGUUGAUCUCUAGAAAUAGUGAUGCCAUCAUUAUCGGAUAUGGAUACCUCCAUUUUUGAAGGUAUGAAUUGUGCGCUAAUUGACUCCUCCCACUAAAAAAUCAGAGCCUCUUAAACUUUGAUUGCCAGCACUCCUUUUUCUUUUCUUUUUGCCUCUUGAUUGCGAGCACACUCUUUUUCCUUUUUUUUCUCUUUUGGCUCUAGACUGCCAACACUAUGUUUCUCUAUUUUUAGUAAGUACUUUCUUAACAGUGCCAACUAGAUGGAUGGCUCAAUGCGUGUAAAACUCUACAUAAUAGGUUAAAAGUGACACACGGCGGGAAGAAGUGGCUUGUACAAGGUGAACGAAUAAACUGAUGGAGUACGCAAGACCACAGUGUACGAAUUGCAGCGCAAAGAUACACAAACGGAUGAAGUGGUUUAUAGAAGGUGAACGGAUACACCAACCAAGUAUGCAAGAUUGCAGUCAAAAGUGUCGAAGAGGGUAGCAAUUGAAGGAAAGAAAGAGAAUGACUGGCUUUUCAAGAGCUUCUGACUAGAUGGAUACAAUGUUAACAAAGCUCACCAAAUAUUUAGAUUGCACAAACGGUGGUUCAGUUUUUAUUGUGUAUAUGGCUCUGGUGGGAAAAAAAAUCUAAACCAAUCAAAGUGACACCAACUUAUUGCACUCAACUCUUGGGAUUUUGAUGAGGAGUCAUUCAGAAAAAUAGCAACCUAGGUCACUCUGGGCAUUAUGUGAGGGCUAGAGUGUGACCAAAUAAAUUAUAUGCAUGAUCCAAGGUAAACUUGCAUUUGAAUAAAGCAAUAAAAUUUUAUACCAUUCCUUGUCCCAGCAUUCUUUCAUUAACUUCAUGUCAGCUUUCUGGUCUUCGGCUAUUUCCUAACCUGCAUUGGUACAACAUAAUUUAUGUUUUAGUGUGAGGGCCUCUUUAAAUUUGAAGUUUACACUUCAUCUUUCUUUUUUCCACGAAUAUGCAAGCUGCGUAUCUUUUCAUGGAUAGGUUUACACUUUAUCCGUUUGGUUUAAAAUCAACAAGAUAGGAAUGAGUCAUUACCUUAGGGUAGGCUGAUAGUGGGAAGCAAAUAAUUUUGUUGUUUUGGAAAUGGAAUCCUUUUAUUGAUUCUUUGUCAAGUAUCUAAGUUAUAAAAGCAGCAAAGGGGAAAGCGGCGUCUCGUUGUGGCGUUCGCCACAUGCAAAUCAGCAGUGACAAUGCAGCUCUCAGAAUUCCAGGUUCAAGGCAAAUGACAGCUUCCUUGACUGCAUAUAAGCCAAAGGCCAAUAUUAUUGACGGAAAGCAUACAAAGUAAAGUCGUGAGACAACCUUUGCAGAAAGCUUACCUCGCAUCGUCUAUAACUUUCAUUGCUUCGCGUGCAGUGAAUAAUAUACUUUUUAAUUUAUGAAGUGCUAGUUAACCACGAACAAAGCCUGGGAAUAUAUUAUGUUAGUGUUAGGACCAAUUAACAAAGCAGAAAUGAUUUUGAACAUAUGAAGAAAGUAACUAAAUCCACCACAGCAAAAAUUCAAGAUGAGUUAUGUAGCACACAAAAGAAGCAAAUUUAAAGAAAUAUACAAAAAAACAAGAAUACGGCUAAUAUAAUCUUAAUGCUUAGAUUUUACCAACUCUAGUUUUUUUUUUUGUUUGAGACAAUUACCAACUCUAGUAGAAAGUGAAAUUAGUGGCGGGCACAGGCAGGAACCCGCCACUGCUAUUUUGCAAACGCGGCCAGGAGUUGGAGGGCUGAGGAACAGGCCCACACUAACUAGAGCACUCAAAAAAAAACUAACUAGAGCAAAGUCUCUGUCUUCCUCUGGCUCUCUGACUGAGUUGAGUUGGAAAGAAACAUCAACCAUGCGCGAUGCAGCCGCGAUUUCCCGCCACCGCCGCACUGGCACUGCUGCACCGCCGAGCCACCUCGAUGUACGUGCACUGCAGCAGGUCGAGCAACACAUCGAGCACCAGUGCGCAGCGACCUCAGGCACGCACGCCUGCCACCUGUUCGACCGAAUCCCCGACCCGGACGCGCGCGCCUGCCUACACGACAACUAUUCUGAUCCAUGCACAUAUAUGUUGAAGUACAUAUAAAUCAACACAUGCUAUCCGCCUAUUUCUUCUUAUACACCAACAACACGCGUUUUAUCAGCCUAUUUGUUAUAUUUGUGUCGAAUAUACUAUGUACGCAAGGGGUUACGUGGACUUGGAGUUGUAAUUGGUGUGGUUAGGUACGAGUUGUGUAGGAGUCGGACACUUGUAUCCUAGGCUUCUUAUAUACGGAGGGGCACCACACGUUGUAACCCAUGACGACUUGAUAGCAACAGGUACGCGGGGGAGCCGGCGGCUUGUGCUGGCGCCCGGGCGGCCGGUGUUGCGGUAUCUUGGGGAGGAGCGCCCGUAGUCAUGCCCCGGGGAUGUAGCCAUAUCGGUGAACCUCGUUAACAAAUAUUGUGCCUCGGUGUGUCGUCUAUGAUCUUGCAUUAGCGUUUUAUUCUAACAAGUGGUAUCAGAGCAAGGUUGCGAGAAGGCUGUGCGGAAGAUCAUCCGGAGGUACGAGGAUCAUGCCCGACGGGUGCCAAGGAACGUCCGAUUGGUGCGAGGUGGAGCAUGGCGGCGAUCGCGGAGGCGGUCGGUGGUGUCGGACACUUCGGGCAGGAGGCCUGGACCGUUCGAUGGGCUGCGGUCGGUAAGGAUCGGCUAGACGUGGCGAUCGGACCGACGUAGUGGCUGUUGAAGACGUUGCGGAGGCGACGGAUUCGGCUUGCGAUCAGACCGGCGACCAGACGUGGGGGACGGCCGGAUAGAUCGGAGUGUGAGAGCAUCGAGACGAUGCGCUCGGUGUUGUACAAGGGCGGCGGCGCGGCACUGCGGACGGAUUGUGUCGGCGACGCGGAUGGCCAGGGUAUGGCACGCGAGGUGGCGACUGUUGUGGCAGGGUUGACGUGCGGCACGUACGUGCGACAGGGCUGGACAGAUUGCCGGCGAGAACCAAGAAACAGGGACCAGGAAGGCGAGUUGUCGUCGGAUACAGCGGCGGAUUUUUUCCAGAGGUACACGGAUAGAGAAAAGGAAAGUCACGGCAAGCUGCGUACGCGAGAUGUUCGGUUACGUGCGGCAGCAGGUCUUCGAUGGAUGGCAUGGGCGCAAGGAAAGAAAUAAAUCGAAACAACUACGUGCAGGAGUCCAGGGGAUACUAUACAUGCAUGUGCGUUCCAGUUUAAAAGAAAGAUGAUGUGUGCCUACAAGGUGUUAUGAUUAAAAUCAGGAGAUAUGUACGUGUUUGGGUCCGUGCAUGACCAGCGUUGGACUUGAUUUGGAGAUUGUGCAAACCGUGGCAGCUUUGGACUCGGCUUUUCCUGUCAAAGAGGAAAAGAUAGGGCCGGCGGUGUUCAGCGGGUAAUAAAAGGUAAGCGCACACAAAAAAUCAAUCUGCAGGUUUAGAAAAAAGCUGGAGCGGGCUAGUUUUUCAGCGAGAGCUAGUUUGAGCAGCUACGGUGUUUUUCUCAAGGGCAGAUUGGGUGCGGUGCAAGUCAGGGUUCUUGGUAGAUCGCGGACUGCAGCGUGGCUUCAGACGAGGAAUACGGGAUCCGUGAUCUUUUUCGUGAGGAAGUCGCAGAGGAAAACAAGGGUGGUCAGACCGGCGGCAACAGGUCGGUUAGAUCGCGGUUCGGCAUGGCGCCGGGGUUCGCCAAGUUUGAUUUGGAGAAAUUCGAUGGCACGGGUAACUUCGGUCUAUGGCAGACAAGAGUCAAGGAUAUUCUGGCGCAGCAGGGAAUCUUGAAGGGUUUGCAGGAGACGAAGCCGGCCAAGGUUGACAAUGAUGUGUGGGAGGAUAUGCAAGUGCAGGCGGCCGCUACCAUACGGCUUUGUCUUGCGGAUCAGGUCAUGUAUCAUGUCAUGGACGAAGAUACUCCUAAGGAAAUUUGGGAUAAGUUGGCAAAUCGUUAUAUGUCCAAGUCAGCGACCAAUAAGCUGUAUUUGAAGCAAAAGUUCUAUGGGCUGAAGAUGCAGGAGGGGUCGGAUCUUGUGGAGCAUGUGAACGCCUUUAAUCAAUUUGCCACGGAUCUAGCGCGUCUGGAUGUGAAGAUUGAUGAUGAGGAUAAGGCACUACUUCUUCUUGUUUCGUUGCCACCGUCCUAUGAGCAUUUGGUCAUUACAUUGACACAUGGAAAGACAACCAUCAAUAAUGAGGAAGUCACUGCAGCGUUACUUGGACAUGAGUUGAUGAAGCAAAAAAAUGCUGUAGAAAGGGAGAGUACUCAAGGUUUGGGGUUGACAGUUAAAGGUUAUCAGCUCAGGAAGGGACAAGAGGCGGAGAAGAAAAAGAAGAAAAAGGUGCAGUGCUACAGGUGCAAGGAUUGGGGACAUAUAAAGAGGGAAUGCCCAGAACUGAUGGGUGGGGCAAGUGCUAAUGCGGCUACUCAUGGUGAUGACUCAGACAGCAGUAGUGAUGUUCUCGUAGUAUCAAACAUGCGGUCAACAAAAACUGAAGCGUGGAUGUUGGAUUCAGCUUGCUCUUUUCAUGCGACGCCCAACAGGGAGUGGUUCUCUUCGUACAAGUCUGGUGAGUUUGGUUUAGCCUAUGUGGGCGAUGACACAGGUUAUCGUGUUGCUGGAGUAGGUGACAUCAAAAUCAAGAUGUUUGACGGAGUUGAGCGGAUGCUUCGGGGAGUCAGGCAUGUGCCAGGGCUAAGGAGGAAUUUAAUUUCACUUGGUGUUCUUCAUGAUGGUGGUAUGGAAUUCCGUUGUGAUCGGGAUACGAAGACCAUGAAAAUCAUGGAAGGUGGGGCGACCGUGAUGAUAGGAGAGAGGACGGCUUCGCAUCUUUACAAGUUGCAAGGGAGCACUAUUGCAGGUGGAGCCAUGGAGAGCGGAGCUGCAGGAGUAGCAGUGGAGUCUCACGGUGGCGGCGGGUCUGGCCCGUUGGGUAGCUCUCAGUAAGCUACAAAGAAGACAACCCAAGUCCGGAGUACAUGGAGGUUCGAGCAUGGACGACUUCUAGGUGGUGGAGAAUAUUUGCCAAGGUGGAGUUUGUUAUAUUUGUGUCGAAUAUACUAUGUACGCAAGGGGUUACGUGGACUUGGAGUUGUAAUUGGUGUGGUUAGGUACGAGUUGUGUAGGAGUCGGACACUUGUAUCAUAAGCUUCUUAUAUACGGAGGAGCACCACACGUUGUAACCCAUGACGAUUUGAUAGCAACAGGUACGCGGGGGAGCCGGCGGCCGGUGUUGCGGUAUCUUUGGGAGGAGCGCCCGUAGUCAUGCCCCGGGGAUGUAGCCAUAUCGGUGAACCUCGUUAACAAAUAUUGUGCCUCGGUGUGUCGUCUAUGAUCUUGCAUUAGCGUUUUAUUCUAACACUAUUUCUAUUUGAGUAAUUCAACCCAUCGUUUAUUGUUUGCUACUCCCUCAAAUAAGUUAUUAUUAUGUGCGUAAACAAUAAUGGCAGAAGUAAGUUAUUCCUUGUUCGUAGAUAUCCUAACCUCAUUUUCCGUGUAUUGACAUUUUUUUUUGAGAGAGCUCACCUAGUGUGCAGUCUUAAUUAUAUAAUGGCAGAAGCUCAAUUGUUGUUGUUUAUGCCUAGCCGGUGCUACUUUAUAUAUGUUUGGUCCAUCGUUAUUAUUAUGAUGAUACAAACUCAUACUGUGAACCAUGCAUGUAUUGCAGAUGCUGGUGUAUGACUAGUACGUAUAUGCCAAAUGGUACUAUACGUAUGUGAUCAUCUUUCAGGUUACAACUUCAAUUCUGUAGCUACUAAACUAGACUGCUCCUAAAAACUAUAUUUAGUCGUUGUUUGUCCUGUCAGGCAUGUGCCUCCCUUGUUUCAGUCUUAUCUUAUCGAAUGUUUCAGCAACUUGAUCAGCCCUAACUAUGAAUGCAAGGUGUCCACUUGAGGCGCAACAAACAGGAACAAGCUAGUAGAAAAUCUGAUCACUAUCAUGUAUAAAAUGCUUGAGGUUUUAUUUGUCGGGGAUAACCAGUCCAGCCAUGGUCCUGGCUGAGUCUGAGCAUCACUUGUCUUUCUUCUUUGAUUUGAAUCCUUUCGGUGACAUGACAGAGCCUUCUCAUACUACAUGUUGAUUAAUUACAUAUUCUAAAGAUGCCAUCAUGGCUUUCAUUUCAUUUCAUUUCUUUCAAGCACUGUGCUGCUGAUCCAUCAUAAUCUCUGUUUUUUUUUUGUCCUCAUUUUCUGCAGGUUCUCUCUUCUUCUUUUGGUCUCUGGGAGUUCAAAGAGAAAAUUGGUCUAGGGCUAGUGGAACCACUGACUCAAACAGCAAGCCCGUCUAGCUCAGUUGGUAGAGCGCAAGGCUCUUAACCUUGUGGUCGUGGGUUUGAGCCCCACGGUGGGCGCUAUUUUUUUUUACCUUACCUUACCUAGGUAAUUAUUUUUUACUAACAAAACUCUGUCUGCCCUGGUAUCUUCAGGUUUGCCUAGCAAAAUGGCCUUUUCUGAUGCUCUGCUAACAAACUUCAUUUCCAUGUGUGCUGACAACAUGUUUAUUUUUGUCCAAAAUAUCCAUAUAUGCAAAAUGCCCGGCGAGUCGCGCGCGCUGCAUUUCAGCGCGGCUGCUGGAGCCAGCGCAGGCGGGCGCGCAAAACCAGCCGCAGCGCGCGCGCUAAAAGGUUUUUUGCGCGCGGCGCUAUAGCGCGGCUGUUGGAGAUGCUCUAAGAAGAAGUAAAUUCUCAUCAUUUCUCAAAAUUCAGCAGGGAAAAGACAGAAUACUAUAUAUGACAGGGUAUAUAUACUCUGCUAUGUCUAGCAUAGUUGCCUUGUAUCCUCCUUCUGCUAUGUACUUACAAUGGAUUGCUUGCUGUGAAAAACAUCUACAGUAGCUAAGCCUAGCUACUCAUCUAACCAUGCAUACAUCUUAUUCUUACUUACUGUCUCUGUAUGCCAACAGGCAGCGCAGGGGGUGUUGUACUCGUGUUACUGGUAUCUGAAUUGCUGUUGGUGUUGGUCACCCCACCAUGAUCUGAAGCGAAAACACCUGCAAACCUCAGUGGCUGCUGCAUCUGCACCCGGGAGCUGCUGGCUUCUUCUUCGCCGGCGUCAUCUCCGCGGCGGCUUUGGCUUUGACGGCGAGACACCAUCCUGUGGUGCACAAUGUCGUAGGCGUCGGCGGUCCUGACCUCCUGGGCGAGGGCGCAGGGGCAGCAGCACAGCCACUGGAAGCAGUCCGUCACGUCCGGCCUGCCACAGCAAAACCCGCUGCCGGGAAGCCCGAACCUGCGGCGCAUCUGGAUCCUCCAGAACCCACCGUACAGCAGCCCUAAGACGCACAGCAGGGUGCCGCCGAGGCUGAGCGCGAGCCUGGCCGCCUCGUCGUCGAUGUUGAUGGCCGCCAGGGUGAAGAUGAAGAAGGGCGCCAGGCACAGCAGGAUGAAAGUCGCCGCGUGCACGUACGCAUUGCCGAACCCCAGACGCCCGGCGUUCCACCCGAACACGCAGCAGCUGCAGAACAGCGACAGGUACGCCAGCGAGAUGUCCUCCCACAGGUCCCACACCAGCCCGCCCGACCACUCAGGCGCCGCCACUGCCACGGUGCCUUCUUCUUCUUCUCCCACCUCAACGACGACGGCACCGGCAGCGCCCAUUUCUAGUCCUUGUCGCUGCGGCGGAGAAGGGGAGAAGGAGUACCUCCUCUCGACGGUCUUGUGCUGGAGCCGCUGCCGCGAGCCCGAAGAAGAAGACUCCUGCUCCUCGUCGUCGGCGGCCUGGACCUCGUAGUCUUUCCCCAGGGGGCUGAGGUUGUUGUACAUGCUGGCAACGGCCGGGGCGCAUAUCGCAACCGUCACGGUGAGGCCGACCCCCACGGGAGGCCGCCGGUUCCUGGAGAGGCCGAGGUUGAGGCCGCACAGCGCGUACUGCGCCAAGCAGUUGAGGUGGAGCAGCAAGACCACAACCAUCAUGUGCCUCCUCUCGUUGGGCUUGACGGUGCCGCCCUUGCAGUAGACCUCCCGGAGCGCGGCCAUGUCGCCGGCCCUCCACCGGCACAGCAGCGCCAGGUGGUAGAACCUCCUGGGGUGGUUGUACAGGCACAUCAAGGUAAACAAUGCGUUCAGUAUCUGGUUGUUGACCUCGAACCACGUGUCCUUCUGCGACUUGGUCCGCAGCACGGCGUUGAGCAUCCCGGUCAUGACCAUGAAGAGGAUGGCGCCGGAGAUGCCCACGGCGACGAUCCACACGAAGAGGGCCAUGUUCAUGGGGUUCUUGAUCCACUCCUUGGACUUAUCCCACAAUGGUCCCCACUUGAUCUUCCUCACGAACGGCACCGCCGCCGCCAAGCGUCGCCUUCUCGACUGUCUUCUUCUUGGUGGGUUAGAAGAGCGCUCAUGCUGCUGCUGCUGCUGGGAAGAAGAGCGCUCAUGCUGCUGCUGCUGCUGGGAAGAAGAAGGGGAGCCAUUGUUGCUGUUGUAGUGUCUUUGGUCAGCGCGGAGCAUGUGGUCGGUGGAGUAGCAGGGCGGCGAGCUUGGUGUUUGCAGGUGGUGCUGAAAUGAGUAAUCCUCCUGGCCAUUGGUCUUGUCGCUCAGGAUCAAUCUGUCGUCUGUUUGUUGGGGUGAGUCGAUGAAAUAGAUGGCAAUGUGAUGAUCAUUUUUUGCAUCCGUGUUUGCAGGCUCCUCUUGGUGCAUCAUUAUGUCAUCAGCAGGAGGUCUCUUGUGAGUGGCACCACCUGCAACCAUGUUUCGACGGACGGACAGGCUUGGAGGAUGGAUAUAUAUACUCUGAAAUAGCAGUAUCGCAACCGAUCGAAGCCAACUUCUUUCCCCCUUUGAUUGAACUACCAGGUAAGUAUAAUAUAAUGUUGCUUCUUUUUUGAAGAGCUAGAUGUUCACAUAAGGAGGACUGGACAGAGCCAAAAAGAUGAUAAUAAUCCACUUGUAGCUCCCAUUUGGUUAGAUUUGCUGGAAAAAAAAAAGGUUAUGAAACAAAACUGAGCCAAAAAGAUGAUAGUAGUCCAAGAGAAGUUGAGUCUGAAGCAAAAUUGGGUGCCGGCACACUAGCAAGUCUUGUUUUGCAAGGUAGCUACUUGAGUUUUAAAGUCUGUUGCAGAUAGCCUAGUUGUAGCUUAUAUAUAUUGUUAGAAAAAGAAAGGAAGGAAAGGCCCCUUGUUUAGAAUGAAUUGCAUAUGAUGGAUGGAUCGAUAUUAAGUAGUGGGGCAAAUGAAAUGAUUCAUAUAUAUACUGUUAGACCAUAAAUCAAUGAGUACAUACUAGUACUACUGUAGCAAGUUUCCAAAGGAAGCUAGAAGAAAUUAAAGGCAGCAGAUAUGAAUCAAAUUAAUGAUUUAGACGAUAGUACGUACAUACCUUGUUACUACUAAUCGUGCGUGCGUGCGUGCGUGCGGCAGCUAACUCAUAGUCAGAGAGACGGACAGAUGGUUGGAUUGCCCUCUCCUCUUUUGAUAGAGAGAGAUAGAGAGAGAGGGAGAGAGAGAUCCUCUUUGAGAUGACAAGUGAGGAGGAGGAGGAGAAUGGAUGGAGUUGAAUUCUUGCUCGAUAGGAUUAAGGGAUGGAGAGAUUUGAUUUUUCUUUUUCUUUUGAGGAGAAACAAGGAAUGAGCUGCUGAAGAAAGUAAAGCAGCAGCAGCUCAAUAGAAGCAACCGAUGAAUGAAACAACAACAAGAAGAAGAAACAAAGGUUGGGCCGGCAGAUAUUUCGUUGAUUUGGCCACCAAGCACGCACGCACAACACAAGACUGGAUCUUCUUCUCUUCUCUUCUCUUCUCUUCUCUUCUCUUCUAGAGUAUUAGUAAAUUCUAGUGUCCUAUUUUCAUUUCAAUAUUAUUGUGCUCUCUGUCUCUGAGUUGUACAAGGCAUGCAAGGAACAAGAAAGAAAGAAAAGUACCAAGUUGUCUUCGUCAAGUGCCUGCUAAGGUCACACACAAUGAACGGGAAACAAAAGAAAAAGAAAGGUCCAUUCGUCCCUUGAGAGAGUUGGACCAUCUAGAAAACUCAGGCACCUUCCUUCCUUCCUUCACAUGAUUGACUUUUCUUUCUCUCGCAUAUGUACUCCCUCCGGUCCUUUUUACUCUGCAUAUUAGGUUUGUCUGAAAUCAAUCUCAUUCAACUUUGACCAAGUUUAUAUAAAAAAUUAUUGACAUUUACAUAACAACACCAACAUCAUUAGAUUCAUCUCGGAAUAUAUUUUCAUAUUAUAUUUAUUAGAUAUUAUAGAUGCUAAUAAUUUCUAAUAUAAAUUUGGUCAAACUUAGCUAAGUUUGACUUUCGGCAAAUCCAAUGUGCAGAGUAAAAAGGACCGGAGGGAGUAUGUAUUGAAAUCAUGCUCCAGCCAAUUGCUCCAAAAAAAUCCAAACUGAUGGAGAGAAACGGGUAAUAUAUUUUAACAGUAUGGAUGUUUGAUUUCAGAUUCAGAUAGAUAGAUAGAUACUCCCCUAGUACUGUAUGAAAUCCAUCCAUCUUCAUACCUUGCUUGCUUGUUCAACAACUCUGACUAUUGUAUCUAUCUAUCUAUAUGUAUGUAUGUAUGUAUGUAUGUAUGUAUGUAUGUAGUGAAAGAAAAAGAAAAUCAAAGCUUCAAGUGCAAGGCAGCUGCACCUUGUUUAUUUGUUUGUUUUCAUCCGUCAGUGAUAGGCUGCUCUGUCUGUAGCAGUAUAUUCCAAUCCAAAUUUAUCUUUCAGAAUUAUUCCUAUUUUCACCACAUAAGCAUCAACAUUUUCCAUCCUUCAUUUCCCAGUCUUCCGGUGUGCACCAAGAUCCGUACUAAGGCUGGUCAUAGUGGGAGGUAACUUAGACUAGUAACAUGCAUACAUUACUAGUCUAUGUUACUACCUCUAUAGUGCAUAGUAUCAUAGGUUAGUAUCAUAGGUGAUCUCAUUUAUUGCUAUGCAUGACACAUAGUAGCAUCACAUUUAUUAUGUUACGGUAUCUACCUAUGUUACUAUAAUCAUCUCUCUCUUCUUUAAUUGUCUGCCACAUAAGCAUGUUUGCGAGUCCAAGCGCAUGAUACUACUUAUGUUACCCCACUAUGGCUAGCCUAAUAGGUGCCUCACUUGGCCGAGGCCCACAAGUACAAAAUCGUAAUCAAUGCACCACAGAGUUUCUCUGUCUCCCAAAUGUACCAUCAAUCAAUGGCUUUGUUUCCUUGUCAAAUGCAUACACCAUAUAUUAUACUAGUGUAAAUAAAUAAUGAAAAGAAAAUAAAUUCAUUUUAUAAGAUCAUCAUCAUUUCCCUAUACAAAUACUUGUGCCUCAAGAACAUGCGCUAAUCCCUAACACAUGCCGCUAAUCCAACAUCCAUUCUACUUGAGCUACUACUCCUUGCUCAAAAACUCCCCCAUCGGACAUGACGUGUAUGGGAACGAAUAAUAUAUGCCGUCUUGAGGUUCCACGGGUAAGCACCCCAAAUCUUCCAUCUCGGAGCUAUCGAAACGAUACGACAUGACUCUUUCAAGUGGUGUGUGUAACAAGACAGUCUCUUGAUUAGGAUGAAACCCAACUAGGGUACAUCUCUGUUCCGACUGAAUAAUGUUAUGAUGAUGUUCGCGAGAGAAAUCCGCUACAAGAGGGCCAAGGUUGAUGUCACGCUUCAACCUCCAGUUUAUCUCAUCACGCACAUCGUCGAGGUGCCAGAUCUGAAGUCCAAGGCCAUCAUGACCACUAAGUAGCGCACAAUAUAGGCCAUUCUCUGAUUUUCCUAAAUGAUGGUCUUCACUAUACCUUUUGCGAAAACCUUUCGGCAGAUUAAUUACUUGAUACGUGUCAUUUGACAUGUUUAUUCUGUGAAAGAUAAACCAACCACUGAUCAAAGCUAGACAAACAAACAAGAAAGGUAACCGAAAUAAGAAGGCGGUGUAUAAAAUGGGAGUAGUCAUGUACCUCAGGAUGAAAUUAUGCUGAUGAACAUAGAGUGUCCCCCGCCAGUACGCACCAUAACAUUGCGAGGACGGCAAAAUGUCUAACAUAUCGCCAACGGUCCCCGCGGCCUCCCCUUGGCGAAUAAAAGGCCUCUCCUCCCACCACUUUGUCAUCGAUGAAAAGACAAGCAAGACAAAUGUCGACGGCGGACACUGUCUAUCUAUUACGUGAUCGUCCAUGUAAUCAGGCCACAGAAAUGGAAGGUGCUUAACUAGAAAGACCUCGUAGUGUGGUGACACGGCAGGAUCGAACGCGAGGUGCUGGUCAUGGCAGUGCAUGAAUUUUUCAUCAGUGUAGACGUCCUCCAUGCCCGGCGUGCACAUGGACGGGGGAGGGGGCAGGCGCGUCCACCAUCGCGUCGCGUGGUUAACCACCCACGCCUUGUGCUCGAUAGGCCCUCGGCGACGCGGCCAUUCGUUGUUGAGCAGGAGGAGGCCAUUGCAGUGCUGCUUGAUCGUGGAGCACUCGGCAUCCAUCGUCUGUGCCAUGGUCAUGAUCGUCUGUGCCAUGGUCAUGGUCGUCUGUGCCAUGAUCGUGGAGGUCCUCCGUGGACGACGGCGUCUCCAUCGUCUGUGCCAUGGUCGCUUUGCUUUUUGCUGCACAAGUUUGUUUGUGGUGUUCGAUUCGAUCUAGAAGAAGCGUUCGAUAUAUUUAUAGUAGCACGGAGAGUGGGAGAUAGGUACGUGAUGGAAUCCGAUUAGGCCCCGUGGGACCAGCAAGUAGUUAGUUGAGCCGGCCCAGCUCUCCACCUAACAUCAUGUUUUCUCUUCCAUAAUCAAUCUGUUCUUUGUGCUGGGUUUUUUGAUUGAAUGAAUGAAGAAAAGUUUGAUUUCAUUUGUAGAACAUGACCAAACACAUACAGUACAAAAUUGUAAGCUAUGCAUGUGUUCUUCUUCUUCUUCUUCCUAUGUGUUGUGCGCGCGAGUCUUCUUCUUUCUUGCACAAGAAUCCAAGAGAACGUGUAUAAUAACUGAACAUGUUCAUCAUCAACUUUUUUUUGGUACAAAUUAAGCUACAAGCCUACAACAUUUAAUACUGCAAGGUACAUAGCACCGAUAUGUCGAGAAAGCAGGCGUGUCCACGUAUAAUAUGUUGCCGAUACGCCGAUAUGUUAAUACACAUAUCCAUGGAGUAUCCUGUUUUUCGAUUUAAAAAUAAAGAAGAAGAAAAAUGCCGAUACGGCCGCCGGGACGGCGCCGCUGGCUGUGUGUGCUUGUUUCCGCCAUGCGUGCGUGGCUAGCUGUUGUUUAUGUGUGCGUGCUUGCUGACUGUUGGCCACUACUGAGUAAAGUCAUCCAGGAGCGCGAGGAUUGAGUAAAGUGAUGAUCAUUCAGUCAUCGAGAAAUAGGCAUGGAUGCAACAAAUGACCAGUAUUUUGUUUCUUUUUAUCUCAUCUCAGGCAUUCAAUUCAUUCUCUUCCUAAUGGCCGUAUUGUUGUGUUGCUAUUUUUAGUAAUUGUCGUAUCCCGUAUCCGUAUCGCCGUAUUGAUGUCAUGAUCGACCAGUCGGUGACUCUCUCCAUCAUCAAGGACACACGUAUCCAGGAGAAGAAAAGAAAGGCGAUCUCGUGCCGUCAGGGCGUCUUCCUCCGCGGCCGUUCUCCGGCGGCUCCCCUCCGCUGACGACCUCAGUCGUCGGUGGUGAGGGGGGUCGCCGGAUCCACGCAUGUGGAUUGUUUUAGGCAUUAUUUUCUUAAGAUUUUGGGUUGUUCAUCGUCAUGGCUUCGGCAGUGGAGAUGGCGGCGCCGACUAAUAAAUCUUCAGAUAUUUCCCCAACGAGGCGAUCCGCUUUUUAGGGUGGAUUUGGAAACCAGACUGUUCAAGUAAGGAUGGUGCAACAGCGGUGGCAUCCUCGUGGUGGACCUGUGUCCUUGGGCUUCGCCGUUGCGACGGCGUUUGCUCCAGCGCCGGCGUGGAGCUUGGGAGAUAGUCCAGGAGCGGUCUGGAAGAUGGUGGAUCUGGGUUCGUGGUUCGUGGCAGGCAGGUAUGGUUUCCUCCUCCAACAUCUUAGUUGGGCGGGGGUGCCAGAUCUGGAGUUUGAUGGCGUGUCCGGGGUGUUGCCCCGGUCUGAUUCGUUCAACGGCAAUGGCUUCGCCUUUAUUGGCGAGCCACCUUGGAGGUCCGCAAAGCUGCUAUCAGCGAUGGAGCCGCGUCGAGCUCGGGUGUGGAGGUGAUCCGUCAUGUUCUUCUUUGGUGGCUGCUAUGGCGGUGCCAGAGGCAGGUGACGAGCGUUGGUGUCAAGCUCAGAGGAUUCUUCAGUCUUGUUUGUAAUUUUACUUUUGUUCCUGUGUGCAAAGGCUAGCGUUUUGUUGUCUUUUCAAUUUUGUUAUGUCGAUAUGUAUGUGGCUUGUACUAUGAUCCUUAUGAUAUACUCCCUCCGUUCCUAAAUAAUUGUCUUUCUAGCCAUCUCAAAUGGACUACAACAUACGGAUGUAUGUAGACAUGUUUUAGAAUGUAGAUUCACUCAUUUUGCUUCGUAUGUAGUCAUUUGUUGGAAUCUCUAGAAAAACAAUUAUUUAGAAAUGGAGGGAGUAAAUGAGACACGUAUUACCAUGCAAAAAAAAAAACUCUCUCCAUCGUCGACGCGUUUGUCAACUGGGCUGGACUGGACUGCAGUCAGUACGUAUGGCCUGUCAGGCCCAUGCCAAACAUGAUAGAUAAGAAAGGGAUUCGGCCCGUGGUCGAGCCACAUCCGACGACUAACCCCGGCGUGCUUGUACUAAUUUCCGUAUCCUAGCCUAAAAAAACUAAUUUCCAUUAUUUUUGCUUAGAAAAAACUAAUUUCCAUAUAUUUUUUUGCAUGGUAAUACGUGUCUCAUUCAUAUUAUAAAGAUCAAAUUACAAGUCACGUAAAGACCGACAUGACAAAACUGAAAAGAUAGCAGAACAUUGCUAAGCUUGACACCAACGUCCGUCACUUGCCUCCGGCACCAUCACAGGAGCCACCAAAGAAAAAAAAUGAUGGAUCACCUCCUCACCCGAGCUCGGCGCGGCUCCAUCGCUGAUAUGCAGCUUUGCGGACCUCCAAGGUGGCUCACCAAAGAUGAAGCCAUUGCCGUUGAACGAAUCAGACCGGGGCAACACCCCGGACACGCCAUCAAACUCCAGAUCUGGCACCCCCGCCCAACUAAGAUGUUGGAGGAGGAAACCAUACCUGCCAUCCAUCAACCACGAACUCAGCACAUGUUCUGUCUUCCAGAUGUCGUCGAUGCAGAUCACAAUCUGCAUCUGCUCCCGAUCUACCUCCCAAGCUCCGCGCCGACGCUGGAGCAGACGUCGUCGCAACGGCGGAGCCCGAGGACACAAGUCCGCCACAAGGAUGCCGUCGCCGCCACGAUAUCCCCGCUUGAACAGACUGGUUCCCAAAUCCAUCACCGAGCAAAGAGACGAUCGCCUCGCCGGAGAAGAACCUGGAGCUUCUUUAUUCAGCAUCGCCGUCGCCGCCGUCGAAGCCAAGACGUCGGACGAUCUAAAAACCUAGGCUAUUAGGGCUCUAAACCUAAAGCAAAAAUGAUCCAAAGAUAUCCUCCUCUGCAGCCAUAAAUACAUGUCGUCAUUUAUUUCCGUAUAUUGAAUACCAAAAGAUAUCCUCCUCUCCAGCUAUAAAUACACGCCAUUAUUUAUUUCCGUAUAUAUACAGAAUACUAAAAUAUAUCCUCAUCUCCAGCUAUAAAUGCACGCCGUUAUUUAUUUCCAUGUAUAGAAUACCAAACAAUAUCCUCCUCUUCAUCAGCUACAAAUACACGUACCAAAUCUUCUUCUCACCAAUCACAUUCAAUCGCAGCCAAAUUUUGAAAAGCCACAAGAAGACAAGAUGAGAGUUCCAUUCUUGAUCCUCACCAUCCUCGUUCUCUUUCUCCAGUGCAAUGCUUCCCCGUUUGUAAGAGAUAAGGAGACCAACAUCCUCUUCUACCUCCACAACAUCCAUGCCGACAAGGAUUCAUUAUCGGUCCUCGUCGCACAAAACACCAAUGCCAUCGCCCAUGCCCGUGGUAUCGUGGCCUUUAGCUCUGUCUACGUGUUUGACGACGUGAUCACCGAGGGGCCCUCGAUCACGUCUAAGGUGCUUGGGAAUGCACAGGGCAUGUACGUCGGAACAGCGAAAGACGGGUACACGAUUUUGAUGGCCAUCGACGUCGAGAUCACAACUGGGCCAUUCAACGGUAGCUCGUUCAUACUGUUCUCGAGGAACCCGCUGAGAUCAACCAGGGAGCUCCCCGUUAUUGGAGGCCGGGGUGCGUUCCGAAUGGCCCAAGGGUACGGCAUGCUCCGCACGGUGUGUGUUCACUGUCUCGCCUCUACGAACCCUCCCAGUGGAGAUGUGAUAGUACAAUGUGACCCUCUGGCACCAUUAAUUGAGUUUAUGUAUGUAUUUUGGGUCGUUUGUAGCAGCGCGAUGAUGAUAAUAUAGUAAUGGAUGAUUGUGUUUUCCAGUUAUUGACUUGUUGUGCUUUGUAAAAAUACCACAUAAAACUCCCUCGACUUAUAUAUACUGAAAUGAUGGUUAUUAAUUUUAAUUUACAUUGAUGAUUUCAAAAUUAGGCUGGGAUGAUUUUUAGCUAGCCGGAAAUUUAGAAAUAGUUAUUUUGGAUAGUAGGAAUGAAAGAAGAACAAAAUAUGUCAUCAUCAAAUCAAAGAAGAAGAAGAAGAAGAAGAAGAAGAGGCAUGGUAAAGGUCUGUCUGUGACGACUAGUGCGAGCACGAGCGUCAAGACGCUGCAUGCGGCGCCGACGCACAGGAUCCUUCUGGACAAGAGCAACAUCUGUCUUGUCAGGGAGAUGGACAAGGCCACGAUCGACAGCGUCACCAGACCCAGGAAGACGAUCGCCAUGCACGGCCGCAGUCGAUUUUGCCGCCGGCCAUCGCUCGCUCUGGCUCUGGCUCUGGAUCCACCACGACGACGACGACUUUGGCCCGUCCGUCUGUUCGUGGAGGGGAAGGUGGUCGCUCCGUGAUGAUGAGUGUGGCGAGGAUGAUGAAGAGGGCGCAGGGGGCGACGACGACGCAGAGGAUCCUGGCGAACAAGAGCAGCAUGGGUCGUGGCAGUGGCGGUGCGUGAGGGCCCGGCAGCCAGAUGGUCACGGCCGCAAGGAUCACCUUGCACGGUCUGCAGUCGUGGUCUGGCUCCAUAAGCCCGCCGCCGCUCUCCUGACUGCUGCCACCGCCGCUGGCCAUCGGUCCGCUCCGCUCGCUGUGGAUCUGAUCAGAUCGUGCCGUCACGAGUGUAUAACACUAAGCUUUCUAGUUUUAAAGAGCUCACAUUCAAUUAAGGUCUUUAAUUAGGAUUGAGUCACCCGAUAUAGACCGGAUCGACAAUUUCUCAAAGCUAUCUCAUUCAAUUUCUUUAUACUACUAGUAAAUUGUACGUGAUUUGCACGCCAUUUAAAUAUAUAUAUAUAUAAAAACAUGAGAACAUACAUUUAAAUAUGUAUUAUCUUCCCUAGAAUCAUAUUGGACACGAUCCAACUUGGGGACGGCCAGUUCACCACGAAAAGGGAUGCUAGUCGGUCCCUAGAAUCAAUCUAUAAAUAAAUAAAAGAAAGAAAAUGAAUCAAAGAAGAAGAAGAAGAAGAAGCCUGCGAAAGGUGGGUCCGUGGACUUGGAGGGGAAUUAAGGUGGUCGCUCCGUGACGAGUAGCGCGGCCAAUGAGCAUGAAGAAGCUGCAGGCUGCGGCGAUGCACUGGAUCCUCAUGGCCAACUCCAACACCGGAUACGAUAAAAAAAAAAAGUCCAACACCGGAUCCUGAGGGCCCGGCAGGCGGAUGGUCAAGGCCACCAUCGCCAGCGUCACCAGACCCAGGAGGAAGAUGGCCGACCACCGGCCUCUCCUCACUGCUGCCGCCGCCGCCGGCCAUCGUUCCUCUCCGCUCCGCUCCGCUCGCCGUGGAUCCGAUCGUGCGCCAACUCGGCCGACUCGUGCGUACGGACGGACGGAACUCUGAUCUGGAUCCAAACAAAGAGCAUCGUGCGUGGGUGGCCCAGCCCACUAAUUAGUAGUAAAAGCUUUCUCGGCCCGCUACAAACAUAUAGUACAAAAUGAGAAGAAGAAGGUUUCCCUCAAAAAAAAACAUGAGACGCUCUAGUCUGCUCCGUCCGCAUCCAUCCAUGGAUCGAUCACGAUGAGGCUUCUUCCAAGGCGCCGUCCGUCCAAUGAAUAUGAAUAUGACUAUGACUAUGAUUGGGUGACGGCGGCCAGGCGGAAGCGGGCGAGGCCGACCUUGGACCCGGUGGCCUUCACGUCCGCCUGCACCUGCUCCCGGAACUCGCCGUAGCUGAACGCCCGGUACAACUCCUCCGGACGACAAGCUGACGCCGGGCCGACGAUCACGGCGUCCUCCUCCGGGAACGCGAAGUAGCACAGCGACAUCCUGUCCGCCUCCGUCCAGCCCGGCGCCACCACCCGGUGCUCCGGGCUCCGGUACGCGUCGCCGCUCAUCGCCUGCAGCAUGUCCCCCACGUUCACCACCACCGCGCCCUCCACCGGACGCACCGCAAGCCACCUACCACCAUAGAACACCUGCAGACCGCCCACCAUGUCCUGGUUCAGGAUGGACAGCACCGAACUGUCCGUGUGCGCCUCCAUCCCCAGCUGCCGCCGCCCCGCGCCUGACGCCGGGUACCGGUACGCACGGAAGAUGCUGCCGCGCUCCGUCAAGUACGACGCCCGCUGCUCUGAGUCGAGCCCCAGCUCGCCGGCCGCCAGGGCGUCGAACAGCUUCCGGGCGAUGCGCGCCAUGUGCGCCACGUACUCCCCGCUCACCGCCUCCCUGAACUUCGAGAACGCAGUGCCGUCUGCUUCACCGUCAGCACCAUCUGGAGAAGAAUGAGAACGGUCGCCGUGGGCGGCGGUCGCCUCCACGUGCAGACCCUCGAGCCAGUUGAUCUCCUUGACGGGGAGCGCCGCCAGCGCCGGCGUGCCGCAGAAGUAGCCGGGCAGCCGGGACUUGUUGGCCGCGUCCAGCUCCAGCAGCCCGCGCGCCAGCCCGAACAGGCGGGCUGUGAGCUCGCAGGGGACGCCGUGGUUGACCAGCCGGAACACGCCCGGGUCCCGGCACGCCGCCGCCAGCUGCUCCGUCAGCCUCGACUCCUCCGCCUCGAGGUCUACAGUGGGAAGCUCCAGCUCCUCCAGCUCGCACCCGUCUGCCAGCUGCUCCAUGGAUCCCCUGCUCUGCUGGAUCAAGAGGAGGCGGUCCAGUUUGAUGGAUCUAGACGGACGGACGGAGCAAAGCAGAGCAGCGAAAGGGACAAGCUUUACUUUUUGUUUAUAGUGGCCAACUGAUGAUGAGCAGAGCAAACCUUGCUCUUUGUUUUUAGCUUCUUUUGUCGCCUAGUGUGCCUCACUCCUUUUUUUUUUCAGAAAACUUUCUAUCUAUUCAUCAACCGUCAAGGUAGUACCAAAAACACUAGAAGUAAAAUUUACAUCCAGGUCCGUAGACCACCUAGCGACGGUUACAAGCACUGGAGCAAGCUGAAGGCGCGUCGCCGUCAUCGCCCCUCCCUCGUCAGAGUCGGGCAAACAUUGUUGUAGUAGACAGUCGGGAAGUUAAUUUACAUCUAAAAGAAUAAAAUUUCAAAAGAAAUAUGGAGUUAAUUUACAAAAACCAUUUCAAAUACAUUUCCACAUUAUUAUAAAGAAAAGGGAAAUAAAAAACUUUUUGGUUGUUUCAUCGAAAACUUCUCAUGGGUCGGCAGCUAGAGGUCGCACCAGCCACCAGAGCUCGAGAGGCAGCAAAACUUGGCGGCGGCGCGACCACGAAUGGUUAGAGACAUGGGCCGAGGGUCAGUGUAGCUGAAGAAGUCGCGGCGUUUUGAAAAGUUAAGUUUAAGGCACUCCUCAAAAUUGAGCCGGUUGAGAUGUAUUUAAGAACUAACUCCUCAAAUUUUGAGGGGCUUUUAGAAGAAGACCUAGUUCUAGAUUAACUUAACAAAAAGAAAAUUUUGAUAAGCUAAACGUUUAUAAGGGAGAGGUUAUAGAUACUUUGAGUUGGCUUAGUUUUUUAAUUUAAUCUCGAUAUUUUGCCACCUCAAUGUGAAUCUCAACAUGAAGACAACAAACGACGACAUAAAGCGAACUAGAUGAUACUCCCCCUGUCCGGAAAUACUUGUCGGAGAUAUGGAUGUAUCUAGACAUAUUUUAGUUCGGAUACAUCCAUUUUUAUCCAUUUCUCCGACAAGUAUUUCCGAACGACGGGAGUAUUUUCAUGAAGGAUAUUUUAUUAUAUUUAUUUAUUUAUUUAUUUAUUUGUGAAAUACAUGUAGUGUAAUGGUUUUGACAUGCAUGGCUGAAUGGUUUGGUGGAUCUUUUUCCAUGCAUCUUAGCAUGUUGAGGUGGCAUCUUUUUUUGAAAACAUCAUAACUUUAUUCAAUCGAAAUAACGGAUACAUCAUUUAAUAGAAAGGGUACAAUUUCAAUCAAUGGCUCCUCAAACCAAUCAACAGUACCAGAAAAUCUAGCUAACCUGGCAAGUUCAUGAGUUACUUUAUUUGCCUCUCCAUUACAAUGUUCAAACUUGGACAUAGAAAAAUCACAAGCAAUAGAAUAGCAAUCAUCAAAAAUUGCCGCCGCCACUCCCGCCGACCGUCAUCCAUUGUUCAUAGUCUCAGUGACCUCCAAGUUAUCAGAAUUGAUGACAAGUCGAUUACACCCCGCCCUUUGCGCCAGGGAUAGCCCAAACCUAAGCGCUAGAGCUUCCGCCGUGAGAACGUCCGCACACCAGUCAAUUCUCGAGCAGACCCCUGCAAUAAAAUUUCCUUUGUCAUCCCUGAGAACCGCUCCGGUCGUUAUCUUAAGAAGGUCAUGAUCAAACGAAGCAUCAACAUUAAGUUUCGCAAAGCCCACGGGGGCCCGACUCCAACCCGCUCUCUUCAUGGAAGCAUUAGGAGAGGAAGCAAUAACAUAAUUGGCCCUAAGAGCUUGAAUCCCCAUAGAUAUCUGCUUAGCAUCUUGAUUUUUCUCCUUAUGCACAAGUUUACGUCUUUCCCACCAUAAAUACCACGUCGUGAUGGCAAUCAUCUCACGCGUAUUUUGGGUUCCCAAAAUAGCUAAAUCUUGGUUUGGCAAUUGUAAUAAGAAUUCCAGGACAGCCUCACCCGCAUAAUCAACUUCACAAGCACUAGAAAUAACUCCGUCCAAACCAAGUCUUCUCCACACCUCCUUAGCUUUCUGGCACUGGAACAACAAAUGUUUUGUAUCUUCUUGCCCAGACAAACACGAAGGACAAAUUGGCAAAACUUUCAUAUGUCUGUUGGCUAGUGUAACGCGGCAUGGGAGAGUGCCAUGCAACGCCCUCCAAAUAAAAUUUUUAACCUUUGUCGGACAAGAUAAUUUCUAGAUCUUACGCCAAAUUGGAUUUAAAUUUGUUCGCCCCAAACUGUUGGAUCGACAAAGUUUCCUUCCAUAUUGGUGAUUCCACUCAACGACAUAUGCGGAGUGAACAGAAAGAUUCCAUUCUUAGUGUAAUUCCAAGCAAUAAAAUCCGUCAUGUCAUAUUAUGGGAGAGGGAUCGCGAGGAUCCGAUGAGCAUCAAUGGGCCACAAAGUUUGAUUUACGAGAUCUUCAUGCCAGUUGUUUGAUGUGGGGUCAAUAAGAUCCGACACCUUUGACAACAAAUGACCCCUCUUUGGAGUGAUGACUUUCCUGGUAGCACAAUUAGGAAUCCAAGCAUCGUCCCAAAUAUUAAUGGACUGACCAUUUCCAACUCGCCAAAUGUACCCAUUCUUCAGAGUACUAACUCCCGACAUAAUACUUUGCCAUGUGAAGGAAGACCCCUUCUUAAGCUUUGCAUUCAAUAAAUCUCCAUCAGCAAAAUAUUUGGCUCUCAAUAUCCUGGCACAUAAAGAAUCUGGGUUCUCAAGAAGACGCCAAGCAUGUUUAGCCAGCAACGCCAGGUUAAAACAAUGGAUAUCACGAAAUCCCAUACCACCUUGGUUUUUUGGGACACACAUUUUCUACCAAGCCAUCCAAUGCAUCCUCCCAUGGUUGUCGUCAUCACCCUACCAAAAAUGCGACAACGCGUUAGUUAUUCCUUUACAAUUUUUUUAGGAAUUUUGAAGAUGGAGAUCGCAUAGGUAGGGAUGGAUUGGACAACAGACUUAGAAUUUCCUUUCCUCCUGUAGAUAGUAAUUUAUCCUUCCACCCGCUAAUUUUCAUGACAAUGGGAUCGAUCAAAUACUGAAAACAAUCGGACCUAUCUACGCCCACAUUUGCUGGCAAACCCAGAUACUUGUCUUUGAGCGCCUCGAUCAUGAUGUUCAAGAUUGAGCAAAUUUGCUCCCUGGUGUCCACUCUCGUAUUUGGACUGAAAAAUAUGCUAGACUUAUCAACACUCACCAUUUGUUCCGAGGCAGCACAGUACAAGUCCAGAAUAGAUUUCAAAGUCUCCGUGUUGCGAAGAUUCGCCUUCAUGAGGAUCAAUGAGUCAUCAGCAAAGAGAAGGUUAGUAAUAGAGGGGGCCUCUCUACACACUUCUAUUCUAGAAAAAUUAUCAUUCUCCUCCGCAUGCGUCAAUAGAGCGGUAAGACCUUCUGCACAUAAUAAGAAAAGGUAAGGUGAUAAAGGAUCUCCGGCGGUGCGUCUAGUCCCCGUUCCGGUGGUGCGUCUAGCAUCGUUGGUGGGCGUGUGGAGGUGUGUCUCCGGCGGAUCUAUCCUCGGUGGAUUUGCUCGGAUCUGGUUGUGGUUCGUCUAUGUUCGUGUGUCUUCAGGUUGGAUCCUUUCGAUCUACGUUAUUCUUUAUCAGCGGCGGUUGCUGUUCCGGUGCGCUGGUCCUACGGGGCCUUAGCACGACGACUUCCCGACUGUCUACUACAACAAGUUGUGCCCGACUCCGACGAGGGAGGGGUGAUGACGGCGGCGCGCCUUCGGCUCGUUUCAGUGAUUGUAGUCGUCGCUAGGUGGUCUACGGAUCUGGAUGUAAUUUUUAUUAUUUCUAGUGUUCGUUGUACAGCCGUGAUGGAAGAUGAAUAGAUUGAAAGUUUUCUCGCAAAAAAAAAAACGACAUGGCCAUCAUAUAAGAACUAAGGUCUAUUUGCUGUAAAAAAAAAGUUAGUAGUGGUACGUCUCUAGUUGUUGUAGUGUGAAUCCACAUACGCAAAGCUUAGGUAGGAGGCGUACUGCUUGAGUUUCCGUGUCCGGGGGCGUUACGGGAGGUCCGGGCGUAACACGCAGGCAGCAAAGAGAGGCCACGCGGCGGCGAGCCAUUGGCCAGGCUACGUGUUCCCCGUCACCGGCUUCCCUCCUUCGUCUCGUCUUCUUCUUCCUUCCUUCCUUCCUCCCUCCCCCUCCAUUGGAUUGGACUUGACGGAAUCGAAUCGAAUCCAACGGGAGGGGACGGGACGGGACGGGACGGGACUGGUGGGCUAAGAUCUACCCUGCCUAGGGAACGGAACGGAAGGACGGAAGCACGGAAGGAAGGAGGAAGAGGCGGACGGCGGCGACCUCGAAAGAAAAGACGGAGAAGAGAUGGCGUGGCGGCUGGCGCUGCCGCUGCUCCUCUUCUACUCACCCAUCCUCGUCUGCUCCUCCUCCCAAGGUAACCUAUAAAUCCCCUCUUCUCCUUGGAUCCAUUAAUUCCCUCUCAUUUGCACGGCGCCGUAUGCAGUAGACUCAGGUGGAGGGAAGGAAGGAUGAUGCCCACCACCUGAGUGAGCAGAUCCUUAUACCUUACCUAAGUUAGAUUAUGUACCUAUACCCACCUAGUAAUAGUAUAGUAUGCAAGGCAUUAGAAUUUAGAAUGAUGAUGAUGAUGAUGAUGGGAUCUUGAUCUUGCUUGCUUGGGAUUGGGGUUGGUUGGCAACACCUCCUCCUCCUUUGGCCUUUGGGAGGAGCACAAGCAGAGGAUGGGGGAGCAGAGCACUUGUCAUUUCAGAUUCUAACCAAUUACUCUCCUGCUCGCCCUCUGCUUCCUCCUCUCCUCUCCUCUCCUAGUACACUAUACUCUAAUCACUGCAAAACCAAAUAAUCGUCUUUUUUUGUUUACAAGACAAAACCCUUGCUCCAGAACAGAGCACGACGACGCAAACACAAACAAAUCAUACAGAGAAUAGACUGACUGAAUCAUAAUCUGUAUCCUUUUCCCUCCCUGUUUUCCAGAAGUCCAAGACAAUGACCCCUCCAAACUCUUCAAGAGCGCCUCCGAGAUGAUGAGCCUAAGGAAAUACGACGGGGCGCUCGGUCUGCUCAACGCCGUCCUCGAGCUCGACCCCAACCAUUCUGAAGCUUACAGGCAGCGCGCGACGGUGCUUCGUCACAGAUGCAGGUAAUCAUUUUUUGUCCGCUAAUUAACACCUAUACUUUACUUCUUAUUUCUAAUUUCAGCUUGCCAUGUCUGCACUUGUAACUUGUAUAUAUACUCCCUUCGUUUUUAUUUUAUUUACUUCGCAUAUUAGGUUUGUCAGGAGUCAAACCUUGUACGCUUUCAACAAGUUUGUAGAAAAAUAUGUUAACCUAUUCACCACCAAAUCAAUACCAUUGGAUUCAUCAUUGCAUAUAUUUACACAUCAAUAGAUUUGUUAUUUUAAAUGUUCAUAUUGUUUUCUACAAAGCCGGUCCCAAGCCGGGGUAAAGGAGGAGGGUUGUGAUAGGAUUGGCGAGCCAACGUAAAAACUCAGCCACUCUUAUGGAGAUGAAACCCAAAAGAUUUUCGUUGGGGCGUAACCCUCUCAGCGACGCGCCACAUCGGUGGAAGCUUGCUAUCCAUGUGCCAGAGCCAUGAGUUGGUUGCGAGAUCUUAUGGGUUUCACCUCUAGCCUACCCCAACUUGUUUGGGACUAAAGGCUUUGUUGUUGUUGUUUUUGUUUUCUACAAACUUGGUCAAACUUUAUAUAAAGUUUGACUCAAGUCAAAGCUAAUAUGCGGAGUAAAUAAAAACAGAGGUUUCACUGUUCCUUCUUCCUCGCAUCCCUAAUUAAUGUGCUCUUCUCAACUCUAGACACAAGGAAGCUGAGAGUGACUAUAACAAAUUCCUGGAGCUCAAGCCCGGGACUGCUUCAGUGGAGAAGGAACUGGCUCAGCUGCUGCAGGCCCAAAACGCAUUAGAAUCUGCUUAUACCCAGUCUGAUGCCGGAGAAUUCUCAAAAGUCCUCGAGUACGUCAAUAAAAUCGUGCUCGUAUUUUCUCCAGGUUGCUUAAAGGUACACUUUAAGCAGUAUGUAUACUUCACCUAGUAAUCAUGUGCAACCACGAAUAUUAUGUGCCGUCCUGUCUCAUUCAGUAAGCCGCAGUAACACGAAAACGGUUGUUUUUUCAGGCAAAGCUCCUCAAGGCUAAAGCAUUGCUAGCACUGAAAGACUAUUCGAACGUUAUUUCGGAGACAGGAUUUAUUCUCAAGGAAGAUGAAGAUAACUUGGAUGCGCUGUUACUUCGUGGCCGAGCAUACUAUUACCUUGCUGAUCAUGAUGUUGCCAACAGGUAAAGUAUUGUCUGCUGCUUUUCAUUUGAAAGUACAGGCACAUAACGCCGAUAAGAUUAAGUAUUCGCUUCACCAAUAACAACACUUUCUGUUUAGGCACUAUCAGAAAGGCCUUCGUCUAGACCCUGAACAUUCAGAAUUGAAGAAAGCAUAUUUUGGGCUGAAAAAACUUCUGAAGAAGACCAAGAGCGUGAGUUUUAUUUGAUAAUUUCGCUGUAUCAGUUGAACUAGGAGUUUACGACACCGUAAUUAAGAAAGUAAAGUGGUGUGCAUGCAGGCUGAAGAUAAUGCUGCCAAGAGCAAGUUUCGCGUGGCUGUUGAGGACUACAAGGCAGCACUAGCAAUGGAUCCAGACCACACUUUGUACAACGUACAACUUCAUCUUGGGCUAUGUAAGACUCUGGUUAAACUUGGGAGAGGCAAGGAGGCAAUCAACACCUGUACGGAAGCGCUCAGCAUAGAUGAAGAACUUGUUGAAGCUUUGUCACAGGUAACAUUGCUUGCCUGGACUUGCACACAACCAUGCAUUCAUGUUUAGAAUGCAAAUAUAGAAUGUUUCAGAUCUUGGUAUGCAAUGUUUCCAAUGCUAUGAACUCCCUGCUGGCACAGAUACCCGUCAUACAUGCAUCUUGGCUCCUCUUGCCUUUUGCGGCUGCUUGUCCAUAUAUUAGACUGUAGCAUCAAGGAAAUUGUUUACUGUACAUAGAAUUGCAAUAACUUGCACUUUCCAUAUGCUUAGCUUAUUAUAUCUCUAGAGUGCACAAGUAAAUUACAGCUGAUAUGGUAGUCAAUAUUUCGUUACUGGUGUUUUAUUACUUCAGGAAAUUGAAACUAUGCACUAUACAACAGAAUGAAAUUACCCAUUAUGUCAGAUUUUGUAAACCUAUUAAUUGAACUGUUUUUCAUACUUGCUGCAGAGAGGUGAAGCUAAACUUCUAACAGAAGACUGGGAAGGUGCGGUUGAGGAUCUAAAAGAGGCUGCCCAGAAAUCCCCACAGGUGAAUUUUAUGCGAUUUUGCUUUGCUGUCCUGAACAUAUCAUAGCUAAGGUCAUUUGUUAGCAUAUCUUCUUUUUGUUCUGUUCCAACUGAAAAAGCCUAAGCUCCCAGAGUCUGUCAGAGCAUGCCAAUUUGAGUUUCAUUUUAACUAAAACUUGCAUCUUGCUAUAUUUGAUUUACUCUCUGAUGAUGUGCUUCUGUUGGCGCGCAUCUUGUUACUCCCAUUUCCAUUAGGCUGAAUACAAUUGUCAUCUGACGAAAUAGGUUUGUUAUGCAUGCUCAAUGAGUAGCCUUCAUCAUAAGUAAAUAUAGUUCCCAGUGGACAAAUCAUGUGUUUUAACUGCUUGGAUGGAUGACGCACACAGCAAUAGAUCCUGCAUUAGCUAGACUUUGGUAUGAUACGGGGUGCAACUUGUGGUUAAAAGUUAGCGAUUAUGUAAAUUGUUUGAAGAGACUCUCUGGCUGAGGUUACACGCACAGUAGGAACUCUGCUGUGAUGCUCUGUUUCCUGUCCCUGCCCCCUUUAUUAUCUUUGAAAUUCCAAAUUAAGGAUGACGCAUCUCCAGCGGACAGUUUUACUUGCAAGCUUGGUUUAUGACUCGUGUGAACAAAUGAACUGUGGUCUGACAGCGAUUUUUCUCUUGACACUGACUCAGGACAUGGCAAUCCGAGAGGCGCUCAUGAAAGCGGAAAGGCAGCUCAAGCUGAGCAAAAGGAAAGACUGGUACAAGAUCCUGGGCAUCUCCAAGACAGCAUCGGCCGCGGACAUCAAGCGCGCGUACAAGAGGCUGGCGCUGCAGUGGCACCCGGACAAGAACGUGGAGAACCGCGAGGAGGCGGAGAACAUGUUCCGAGAGAUCGCGUCCGCAUACGAGGUACGACUAUUUCGAGUGAUGACUGGUGAAUAGCAAAAGGGAAAAACAAAAAAUAAAUAGACACGGCAAGAUUGAUUGAACAAGGUGCGCAGCUUAGUAGAUAUGAUGCUGUUUCUAACUGUAUGUGAGUGGUGCGUGCGCAGGUGCUUAGCGACGAGGACAAGCGUGUGAGGUACGACCGGGGGGAGGACCUGGAGGAGAUGGGCAUGGGGGGAGGCGGGGGCGGCUUCGACCCGUUCGGCGGAGGCGGCGGGCAGCAGUACACGUUCCACCACGGCGGUGGGUUCCCCGGCGGGGGCUUCCAGUUCAACUUCGGUUAAUUAAAAGCAGGCCAGGCUUACUCUUUUGUUGAUGAUGGUGAUGUCCUAGUUUUCUAGUAGUGUGUCCUGGUCUUUGCUUUAGGAGGGAGAGCUUAACGGCAACAUGUGUUAAUUAUACUAUAUCUCUAGCUAAGAGCUUUUACUACCGUCGUCUUGGCUCUUGUUACUCUGGUUAAAGAAAGUUUUGCUUAAGCACCAACGAUACAACAAAUUUUCCCUGAGAUUAAUUAAUUGUACCACUGUAUUAUGAUUUAUAGCUGGUUAUUUUGUGAUGCAUCGACCAGUUGAUUGGAAAUAAGGUACGUACUCCGAACGGAACAAAAAGGACAAUUUGGGGAGAAUUGGGUAGUAAAGGUUGCAUGCGUGAGACAAAUGAGUAUGGUAAGCCUAGUCGAGUUAGAGAUGCUGUUAUGGCAUCAAACUUGUGUUAAAGCAAUUUUUUGAAUUGAUUAGUAAAGAGUCUUGUGGUUGUUGAAGAGAGCUAGAGCUAGAGAUAGGAACAUAGUAUUCUAAUUAGUUAUGGAAUGAAUGAAUGUUGUUGGUGUGUUGAAGAGGAUGGAAUUAGUAAGAUGCCGCUGGUAGCUCAAGAGAUCCACUACUAGUGACCUUGUUAGUUAUUAGUGGUAGGCUUGACCGUUGACUGGUCAAUUCAAUUCAGGCUGGGCUCUAUUACAUCGUCCGUAGCCGGUCCACAAAGUCUACUUUAUCAAUAUUGCUAGAUACAAGUUAAGAUCCUGUUGGCUGAAGGGUAGUGGACUUGAUCCGCUUUUUAUCCGCUCGAGUCGGCUGUAGACAUAGGGGAUGUUUGGUUUGCGACUAAGGACAUGUUCAAUGGCUCCGCGUCGCUCCAACAGGGGCGACACGGGCGACUAACCCUAGCCGCCGCCGCCGGCCUCCCCUCCCCUUCCUCUCCUCCUCGUCGCCACCAGAGGAGCCGCCGAUGUGUCGCGCGGCUGCCGAGGAAGGUGGCGGCGGGGCCUUCGUCGUUCCUUCGCGGAGAUCCGGAUCCACGGGGCGGCGGCCCCUUGCUGGUUCGGCGCCGCCGUUCGCGUCCUGGACGGUGUGCGCGGGGACUCUGCCGGCGUCCUCGACCGCUCGGGUGGUGGGGAGUCGGCGCUUGGCGGCGGCAGUUCGGGGGCCUUCGUCCUCGCCAGAUCUGGAGGCCUGCUGCUCCCUCGUUCCCGCUCCUUCCCCUUUGCGCUUGAGGCCGGUGGAUGCUGCUGGUUCCGGUGCUUCUGGGGAUGGUGGUGCAGAUUGGGACCGGGGGAAAUCCUAGGCCGGCUGGUUCGGCUCGACAGCGACGUCGGCUUCGGGCGACGCAUCCUUCCUGAAGGCGGUGUCGUGGUCCUUAUUCUUGCCACCUCCGGUCCUCUCCCGGGUGAAAACCCAAAAUCCGGCCUGGAUUGGGCAGCGGUUGCGCCAUGGGCGUCAUCUCCUCCUUGGAGGCGUUGCCUGGGGGAGCUAGGACUCGGGUGUGGGCUCAUGAAGGUGGGGGCUUUGGCCGCCGGCUGGCUCUCUGUAGCUGCUCGCGGCGGCUUUCAUGUUGUGCAGAGUGCCCCUUGUAUCUUUAGGGCGUUUCCUGUUUUUGGUGUUCGCGUCGGAGGAGCGGCGUGGCAUCUGGCACGUUGACAACGGCGAGUCUCAGCGGCAUGGAGCAGUGGGGGUUUCGCCGGUGGGCGUGUUAUGAUGGACGAGCGCAGGAUGGUGGCGUCGAUGGCAGAGAGACCUGGCACGGUUCAUGCAACAGUACAACUCUGAAGAUGGAUUGAUGGUACGUAGCUGCGGCGGCCUCAUACCCGGCAGGGGUCCUGGUUGAAGAGCACGCCGGACUGGUGGGUGCCCAUACCCGGCAGGCGUCCUGGUUGGGACCUCAGGUCUUAGAUGUUAUGUUUUGCUGCGAGGUCUGUUUGGUAUUAGGCCCAGACCAUCAGCGCCCCUUCAUCAGUUAGAUAGGAGUAGCGACAGAGGUUGCGAAGAUGGUGGCUUUGGUCUUACUGUUGUACGACUUUGUAAGGUCUUGUGUUAAUAAUUAAUAAAUUGGCCGUAUGCAUCAUCCAGAUGCAGAGGCCGGGGGUAUUCCUCCUUUUCGAAAAAAAAUGUACAAUGGUUGAUAAGAUAGUCUUAUCUUAAGUCUUGCAUGUAAUUUAGAGAUGACAAAAAAAUUUGUCUACAAUGGGUCAUCUCUUAGCCUUAUCUUCAAUAACUAGCAAUUCCUAAAAAUGUGGUGAGACAUAUUGUGCUAAGAGAUCACUUCUUGUCUUCUCUUAAAUAAUAGUAAGAGAACACAAAACUUUUCUUAUGAGUUCUUGCUCCUCCACCUCAUCGUCUAUCCUACGUGGCACUCUUAAGAUAGUACCAUUGUACAUGUCCUAAGAUUGCAAAAGAUUGCCACAUCUAAGGUUAGACAAGUUUGACCAACUUAGAUUAGUGUUUGGUUGAAGCCACACCUUAGGCAGCCUCCACCGCCGUCCCUCCGGCACGCACCACCAAAUCUGACCGGAGAUGCCCGAUCUGACUCACCUACAUCGCUGCCGUCGUGACGCCACCCGACCGCUGCACCGCUUCUCCCGCCAUAGGCCAGCACCUCCAGACAAGCAGCAGACCCAUGCCAGCCCUAGAUCCCGCCUGGAAGGGAAAGGAAGACCCCACAGCCACCCUUGCGGGCUUGCGAGGGAGGAGGGUGGAGAGAGGGGGUGAGGGGAGGUGGCGGCUAGGGUUCUCCCGGGCGCCAUGGGAGGGAGGGAGGAGGGGUUGCGCUAGUAUUAUCAUCAGAAUAGGUUGAGUGUGGAGUAUGAAUGUGUUGAGGAGAUAAUUACUCCCUCCGUCCCAUAAUGUAAGACAUUUUUUUUGACACGUCUUACAUUAUGGGACGGAGGGAGUAGUUGUUAGUCAUGGAAUGAAUGUUGUUGGUGUGUUGAAGAAGAAGAUGGAAUUAGUAAGAUGCUGUUGGUGGUUGAAAAGAUCUACUUAGUGGCAAUGAGUUGUGUGAAGCUGCCUCUUGUUAGUUAUUAGUAUUAGUGGUAGGCUUGAGCGUUGACUGGUCAAGCUCCCUCAUGCUCCAAAGAAAGAAAGAAACGAGGUCUGGUCGUAUGGAAGGAAGGAAGAGCGGGUCAAAGAGUCAAAGGGUCAAUGCUCACCAUCAGCUUGCAACUUGCAAGCAAGAGGAGAGGAUGAGGACUGAGGAGGAAGAAGAAAGGAAGCAAAGCAGCAGCUGCCGCGACCUCACCCUCUCCUCCCAGUGGGUGAGAGUGACCCAGGCACUGAGCUACCGUGGCCGCGAGCAGGUGCAGGUGCAGGGAAGCAUCACGCACGCCCAAAAUGAGCACCCGCACGCGGUCAAGGAAGCCUCCCCUCGCCCCUCCUUCCCGACGACGACGACAGCCCCACCCGUGUGCGUGUGCGUGUGCCGUCUAUAUAAUCUUCACCCCAUCCAUCCUCAACGGACACCAUCCACUCAUCCAUCAUCCCACCUCUCCUCGCCUUCCUUCCACCACCAAGCAAACCAAAACCAAGGAAGCCAAGCAACCAUGUGCCCGGGCCUCCGCAACGCCAUGGCCACCCACGACCAUCCCCAGCCCUCAUCCUACCUGCUCGACCUGGCCGCCGCCGACGACCUGCCCGCCUUCCGCCGGGCCGUCCAGGACGACAACCUCUCCCUCGUCGCCGCAUCCCCGUGGUACGGCCCUUCGCCCAAGACAGCCAAGACCAGGACCACCCACCAUCUGGCGCUCCACCUCCGCACCCCCGCCAUGGUCGCCGCGCUCUACGGCAGCACCGCCGUCCUCUCCUACGUCCUCUCCAUCGCCCCCUCCGAGGCCGCCCGCGCCUCCGCCUCCGACGGCGCCACCCCGCUCCUCCUCGCCCACGCCGGCCGCGCACCCUCCGCGCCCCACGCCGCCCGCCUCCUCCUCACCGCCGGAGCGUCCGCCGACUCCCUCCUCGCUCUCGACCACCGCCAUCAAACCACCAGACUCCCCGCCAGCCCCACCAAGAAACAACAACAUCCCGAUUCCUCCUCGCCGCCGGAGGCCACCACCAGGAAGACCACCACCAACAAGGACUAUUCGGACUUGGCCCAGACGGAGGACAUCAACGCGGGCGUCUUCGCCACCGACGACUUCCGCAUGUACAGCUUCAAGGUCAACCCGUGCUCCCGCGCCUACACGCACGACUGGACCGAGUGCCCCUUCGCCCACCCGGGCGAGAACGCGCGCCGCCGCGACCCGCGCCGCGUGCCCUACUCCUGCGUCCCCUGCCCGGACUUCCGCCGCGACCCGCAGGCAUGCCGCAAGGGCGACGCCUGCGAGUACGCGCACGGCGUCUUCGAGUCAUGGCUCCACCCGGCGCAGUACCGCACCAGGCUCUGCAAGGACGAGGUCGGAUGCCCCCGCCGCAUCUGCUUCUUCGCGCACGGCGCCCGCCAGCUCCGGGCCGUCAACCCCUCCGCCGCCUCCAUGGCAUCGCCGUCCCCGAGCUCCUCCUCUUCGCCGCCGCCGCGCUCCUUCUCUACAACUACAAGGCCGGCGCUCACGGCGUCGCUCAGCUCGCGGGAGCUCGACUUCGACGCCGACAGCCAGUACGCGCGCAGGAUGAUGAUGGCCAGGGCCAACUCCCCGCCGGACUACUCGCCCGACCUCGUCGCCGCCUACGUCCAGGCGCUCUCCUCCCUGCAGCACCACCAGCUUCAGCAGCAGCAGCAGCAACAACAGAGCAGCGCGCGCGGCAGCACAACCAAGCCGCCCAUGGGAGGAGGGCUGAGCGCCCGCGCCGCGGCCUUCACCAACCGGAGCCAGACCUUCGUGCACCGCUCUCCGGCAUCUCAGGCGCGGUCGUUCGCGUCCCCGGCGGCGGCGUCGUCCAUGCUGGCGGACUGGGGGUCGCCGGACGGGAAGCUGGACUGGGGCGUGCAGGGCGCGGAGCUGCGCAGGUCCACGUCUUUCGGGGUCAGAAGCAGCAACAGCAGCAGGGGGCAGGAGGACAUGUACUCGUCGUGGCUGAACGACGGCGGCAGCGACAUGCUGGCGGCGCGGUGGUCGGACCUGGAGCAGAUGGUCGCCUAGUUAAUUUCAGUUUUUGUAGCUGAAGAAUGAAGUAAGAAAAACUCCUAGUGCCACGGUAGCCUCUACUCCACUCCAGUAUACUACUCAAGGAGAAACAAGAUAUGAAAGAUAUGUAAUCCUUCUUUAUUUCUUUUCAAACUUUGUUCUUCUCCAACAGUGAUAAAAAGAAAAUUUCACAUCUAAUGAUCCAUGUGUCGUAAAUAUUUGGCUCAUUCCAGUUUUGUGCAGUGCAGUACAGUAGUAUAUGCAGCCGCCCUGGAUAUAAAGCUGCUCAAAAAAUAAAGUUGAAUGAAUGAUUGAGCACACUUUUAAUAUAAAAAAAAUGAAAAACAUAUAAAGUAGUAGAGGAUGUUGACACGAGGAGACUUUUCUUGAAGCUUCGAUGAAUGGAUGGGAUCGGAUCGGAAUUGGGUUGGGUCCUAGCUCGUAGUGGAUGAUGAUGAAGGUGAGGUGAUGCAUCGCUGUCAUUCAUUCAACACCAUACAUACAAAGGUAUCAACAUAUAUAUUGCUUUUGCUUCUUCCUUUUUUUUUAAAUCAAAUCAAAUCAAAUCAAAUAAAAGGCACAUCCUCUAACCAAUUCAUUGUAAUCAUACUUUUUUUCUUCUUCAAUUCAAUGACGAGCGUGACCUUUCUCUUGGCUUUUAUUUGCAAACUGCCUUCCUCUCACGCCCUCGUCCUCCUCCACCCUCUCUUUGUACAAGUCGUAUUAGCUUGUUGUCGCUAUCGGGGGCAUCAAGCCGGAGGGAGUGCUUCAACGCCUUGACCAGACAUGGCUCUAUGCCCGACUCGACACACGCUACUCAUUAUGCAUUGUAUGUACCAUUUGCCAUUGACCUUGUCUCGCCUAUCCUUCUUCAUGUUUCCUUCUUCCUCUUCCCCUUCUCUUGCCCACCCAUUUGUCGACGGUGGCAAUUGUUUGUGUGUGUCCAAUCGCCUGCGCUAGGUUUGCGUUUGAUGAAAGUUAUUUGAAAAGUGACACGUGGACUUCAACAUUGGACUAUGGAACCUGCUAGCUAGUUAAGAUUGUGUGGGUAUGUAUGUGUAUGAUCUAAUAACAUGUCCUUUUGUCUGGACUUCCACUUUCCAUGAAUUUCCUUUCAUAUUUGGUUGCCCGUGUGUUUCUUCUACUUUUCUCUUGCAACAUAGUAAUUAUAUUUGCAAACUAUUGCAGGCUUUAAUCUCUCUCUAUAUAUGCAAUUCGUUUCAUUUUGUGCAAUACCUUUAUCUAUAUGAAUCCAAGUUGUUGAGAGCACUCUAAAGUGCAAUCUAGCUACGAUGCUAGUAUGUAUAGUAGUCAAGACCCACAAUGCCACAACACUUCUCUACAGUAUGUAUAUGCAUAUUGAUCUAUGUUGAUUUCAUGCUUUGCAAACCAUAAUUUUUUGAUGAACAAAAAGCUCACGGUACCUCCAAUUACAUUUCGUGGAAUCAUCUCACAUAACGCCUUACAUCUAAUACAAAAUUAUGUUACAUCUAAAACAAAAUUACGUAACGCCUUACAUCUUCUAACUGAAGGAGUACCACAACUAUACAAACAACUAAUACGUGGCCUCCAUCGGCGCCAUACCUUCUCACAGCAAGAGGCGUGUAUGUUUUCCAAUAACCUUAAACAUAUUAGGCCUCUCUCUUUCCGGCACAUAUGUCCAACCAACUAUUACCUCCAGCACCGCACAACCCAUCUUGCAAAUAAGCACUUGAUCCGAAGGUCCUAGAGUGAGGGCAAGGUGUUCACACGCGUCACCACCAACAAGGAAGAGCGCCAACUUCUGAUCUAGCGAGAUAGCUACCACGCUCCGAGUUAACGGGAUGGAGUCACCAUCGCUGACUACCAUCGGACUGCCCGCUGAUUCGUAUAGAACGAUAUGAUCCUUGAAGUUUCCGGGAGUCGAAGCGGCUACUCUUGAAAUAUUACAUGGGCCCUUCAAAACACUGAUUGCAAUGGUGACUUCCACGGGUUGGUAAACCAGUGCACAUAAAAACUUCACAUCACUCAGGAAACUGUACACGCUGACCGUCAUGGUUUGCCUGUAUGUAGGGAUGCAAACCCAAUUGAAUUCCGUUAUGCCUUUACUGAAAACUCUAUCUUCCCCUCCAUCACACAUGAUCUUUAAAUUAGUCUCAAAAUAAACGUUGUCUAUUGGAACAAGCGCUCGACAUGGAUCUAUCAAAGAUAACAUAUCAUCCUGCAAAAGGGUUCAGGCAAAGAAAACAUGUCAAACACGCCUUACAUUUCCGAGCAAAAAACGGUGGAAUGAUAUAAUAAGCAACAAUUAACAAGGCAAGGAACAGAGACCAAGGUACAUACCGGAGAGCUGAUGAGCUGGGGAUCAUCCCUUUCACGCCUAAACAAAUAGACGCAUCUGUAGUCGACAUAGUCCCUCGCUAUAACGGUUCCAAACACACUGAUCGGGUAGCCAACAUCCGAUUCACGCGCCUUGACAGAAAUGACAUUGAGGCAAUAUCGCUGGAUCGACUCGGGUGAAGGUAACUUGUGGAGCGGCGGGCCACGUUGGAAGCUAGCUGCACAUGAAUAAAAAAAAGCCAUGAUCACAAAUCAAAACCAACAUGUAACACAUGCAUACUUAUAUAUUGAUAUUGUGUCGUGCAGUGGAGACCUAGAAGAAGAAGAAGUUUGAUGAUGGUGACCGAAAAUUGAACACUCACACUCUUUGUCGAAGUCGAAGAAAGCUAGGUUCUCAAAGUUGUGGUAUCGACUACACUUGAAAGCGUUGAGCUUGGGUUCGUAUUGGGUGAAGUCUUGGCAACGGACUAUGUUAAGAGCCGCCAACGCCUUCUCCACCAACUUGAGGUCAUGAUUAGCGUCGUCGAAGACGCCCUUGAUGUCGAGGAUAUGGCAGGUCUCGCGUGGGGACUUCCCCUUGAUCUUGUCGGCGAGGGCCCGGCAGGCCAGACCGAGGAGCCCUCGGACCUCGAGCUUCUCCGAAGCCUGCGAUUUAUAAUAGUACAUAACACGAUCAAUAUAUGCUUCAAAGCUCAAAAGUUGAAUUGUCUCAACAAAAAAAAAACUCAAGAGUUGAAGAAACAAUAUGAUGCAAGCAAGCACAUGAUUAAUUAAUUGGGAAUUGUGUGAUUGGAGAAGAGAUGGAGUGGAAACAAAUUGAUUAAUGAAUCACCAGGAUGAGAUCGUAGAGGGUGUCGAGGUCGACGAUGCCGACGAACUCCGCGUCCCAGUCGCUGAGGGCCCGGUCGUCGUCGGUGGCAAUGGCGUGCCUCUUGCAGUAGUGCAUAACCUUGGGUAGGACGUCGGCUCGGAUGGAGCGGAGUAAGAUGUGGGUGUACUUGGUGUCGUCGCCGUCGGCGGGGACGAUGUAGUUGUCGCGGUCGAGCUCCAUCCUGCGACGUAAGAAGGUGGACACCCUCGCCUCCUCCGCGGGAACCACGAAAUCCACGCCCUCCUGGCUCCGCAGCGCCACCAUCUCCAUCGCCGUCGUCUCUUCCGCCGCCAUCGAUCCCUUGGAUUUGUUCCUGCCUGCAAAUUAAGUUUUUCUUUCUUUUCUGAGGGAUGUCUGCAAAUUAAGUGCAGGGCCGCCUUGGGCAAAUUAAGAGCUGGACCUGGACUCCUACAAUUCAAUUCCAUCUCGGACAAGGCCUCCGCUGUCGGCUCUGAAUCCAAUUACAGUACGGCCUAGCAAGUACUCCUAAAUUUCUCCAAUAAAUAAAUAAAUAAAUAAUAAGCAAGUAGUCCUAAAUAAAAAGGUGAUCCGUAUGGAACAUCCGUCACCUCGACAGCCGUUCGAUGUACGUGCGUGCAGCCGUCCGAUCUACUUUUGGCGUGCGGCUCGGUCUCCUUCCCUGACUCAUUAAUUCCUGAAACAACGGUCGAGUUGCAGAAACAAGCGUCUCGCGAGCCAUUCGAUGCGUGAUGUGAGCCGUUCAAUCCUCCUCUCUAAUUUCCUGCAACGACGCACUUGUUACAAGAUCUGUUCUUCUCUGAUUUCCUAGACCUUAUUGCGAAACCUUAUCUUCUACAAUUUUCUGCAACAAGACUCAUGUUGCAAAACUUCUUCUUCUUUAGUUUUCUGCAACAAGACAGAAACGUCUGUAGAUUUUUUUUGCAACAGAGUUUGUUAUAUAAUACUUUCCGUAACAAAGAUCGUGUUGCGGAAACAUCUAUAGAAUUUUUUAGUUUUCUGCUUGUAUCCCAUGAAGGUCACUGCUGGCGCGUCACCGGCUUGCACAGCUGGUGACCUGUCCGGUCUUUAUCUCAAACCAUCCUGGACACCCUCCAUGGUCCGGGCGGCCGUACGUGCACAUAGUUUUACCUUUUCAGUUCAACAUAUGUCCAAAAUGUAACUGUUUUCGCCCGGUUUGUAUGAAACCCGUCAUGUUUGUAUGAAAUCUGGUCGAGUUUGCACGAAUUAAAUCCGGUUUUGUUGAAAGAGUUUCCAAUGUGUGCAACUAUGGUUGGAUGGCGGCCUCCCAUAUUCGUGUCCGCAGAUUGGUCCACCCCUGUCCGCGGAUGAAUGCGGGAGAAAAUUUACGGGUGACCAUUGAAGAUGCCUUAACCGCUUUUAUAUUUCAUUACAGGGGAAGUAUUUUCUUUCAAGAAGGCCAAAAGCUCUGUAUAUUAAGUAGCACAGCUCAAAGGAUUCUUCGUUCUUGAAUUCAAAGUGUUAUCGUUAGUUAAAAGGUUUGGACAUGCACAACAAGAAACAAGGAUUAUUUAUUCUCGAAGUGUUAUCAUUAGUAAAAAAGGCAAAAGCCGACAAACACCCUUUAAAAAUAUGAUCAAUACACCCAAUUAAAAGUGCAAAAUUAUGGAGCCAUCAACUCUCGCCCCGAUUUAUAGAUAACGCAAUGACUAUACAACCCAUCAAAUACAACUCGACACCACAACACACACAUGCCUCUCUCCAUGGAAUGCACCUUCCACCACCGGCCGUCCACCAACGCAUCGUGGAUUGAACCGCACAAACAUAGGAGGGGAAAUCCACCGUCCAUGUUGCGCCUCCACCUCCACCAGCCGAGAGCCAUGGUAGGGGUGGACGCCGGCACCCAUGCCGCACUCGAGAUGCACCUCGCGGAUGGCCAGAUUUGACCGUGGCGGUGCCACAUCAGCCACCGCCUUUCACACCAUCGCCACAUCACCAAUGCCAACCCGCAUUGGCGUGCCACCGUGUCCCAGCGCCACACCUAGGACACAAAUGCAUUGCCCCGUGCCGAGAGCCCGCGCAUGGAGACGCGAGAUCCCUGCCGCCGGCGGCUGGCCGGGCUUUGCCCGGCCAUGCCCUCUGGGGGCGACGACGGCGAUGGCAAGGGAUCCCUCCCUGUUGCACGUGGAGGCAAAUCGGUAUGGGGAGGGGAAAAAGGAAAAUCUCCACCAGCCCUUGUGCCCUCUCUUUCAAUGUUGUGGAUGUCCCUUACCUCUCCUUCCCUUUCCCUCAUGCCAUCGCACAUCUCCCCAUCUUUUUCCUCCUCCUCCACCUUGAGCGUCUGUUCUAUUAUGAUAAACUUGUCUGUGGCUUUUAGAGUUGUCAUAUUUUUGGGUAGUCUUUUCCCCCUGUAAUAUGGUUUUAGCUGCCGUGAGAACUCCUUGCGCUUUUUUUAUUGAACCUGCCUAGCAGUGGUGGAUGCUUAUGUGCCCGGGUUUGGUUUCGUUAAUGAAACCGGAGGGAGGCCCCUCUUUUAUUAAAAAAAACACUCACAAAAUCGAAGGUAUGACUCGUACGUGUCCGUUUAGCCAUUCAAUUGGUAUUUGUUUAGUGCAUUGGACUACUUUAAUUAUUCACUGUUGUACUCUCUUAUACUCCCUCUGUAAAGAAAUUAAAAACGUUAACGAUCUAAGGACAUCUUUAACGCCGACCCGCAAACCUCCCGCAUCAGUGUGGACCAUGAAAGUCAUCCAAAGCGGUCCUGUACCAGUCUGUUGUGCGGUUCAGAAGUGUUUUUCCCGCAAACUGGAAACAAACACAGGGGGAGUCCGGUCCGCUGUCACGCACACAUCUGACCGCCCUGGCCCACCAACCCCCCCUCCCGUCCGCGCUUCCCGUUCGUCGCCAGCUGCCCGUAUUCAUGCCGUUGUACAGCUCGUCGCUCCAGGCUCAGGACGAACGCGACCUCUCACUGCCUCCACUAUUGAAGCGGCGUGCCGGCUAAGGACGCUGCCCGCUACACGCCCAGCUGAACAUGCAUUCUUGCUGCAUUCAAACGUCUCCAUAAACGCACGUGGAAGCCGAGAAACCUACUCCGACCACAUGUCCAUUCACGAACGGGUCAGCAUUAAACACAACAUCAGGCAAGCUCCUCCCGUCCACCCUCCAUUUAAAUGAGGCCAGAUGCCAGGCAAGAAUCGCACCACUCCGCCGCUCCCCAUCUCUUCCUUCCACCAUUUUCUCCACUCUUUCGAUGGCAUCCGACGAGCAGGAAGAACGGUUCUCCGGCAUAAAAGCCGACUGGGUGGCCCGUUGAGCCCGGUGGAUACGAGCGAGGCAGCGUGCUACUUCACCUCCAUCGGCUAGCCCAAGUAGCCUCCCGAGGCAGAGAAAGAAGCGAGCUGCGCGGAUGUCGACGAGGUGGCGGCCAGCACGUCCGCGCCCGCCGCCAUCAUCGAGGAGAAGUAGAACACGGGAGGCCGCCGCCGCUUGUAUCCCAUGAAGGCCACCGCUGGCGCGUCACCGGCUUGCACAGUUGGUGACCUGUCCGGUCUUUAUCUCAAACCAUCCUGGACACCCUCCAUGGUCCGCGCGGCCGUACAUGCACAUAGUUUUACCUUUUCAGUUCAACAUAUGUCCAAAAUGUAACUGUUUUCGCCCGGUUUGUAUGAAACUCGUCAUGUUUGUAUGAAAUCUGGCCGAGUUUGCAUGAAUUAAAUCCGGUUUUGUUGAAAGAGUUUCCAAUGUGUGCAACUAUGGUUCGAUGGCGGCCUCCCAUAUUCGUAUCCGCGGAUUGGUCCACCCCUGUCCGCGGACGGAUGCGGGAGAAAAUUUACGGGUGACCAUUGAAGAUGCCAUAACCGCUUUUAUAUUUCAUUAAGGGGAAGUAUUUUUCUUUCAAGAAGGCCAAAAGCUCUGUAUAUUAAGCAGCACAGCUCAAAGGAUUCUUCGUUCUUGAAUUCAAAGUGUUAUCGUUAGUAAAAAGGUUUGGACAUGCACAACAAGAAACAAGGAUUAUUCAUUCUCGAAGUGUUAUCAUUAGUAAAAAAAGACAAAAGCCGACAAACACCCUUUAAAAAUAUGAUCAAUACACCCAAUUAAAAGUGCAAAAUUAUGGAGCCAUCAACUCUCGCCCCGAUUUAUAGAUAACGCAAUGACUAUACAACCCAUCAAAUACAACUCGACACCACAACACACACAUGCCUCUCUCCAUGGAAUGCACCUUCCACCAUCGGCCGGCCACCAACGCAUCGUGGAUUGAACCGCACAAGCAUAGGAAGGGAAAUCCACCGUCCAUGUUGCGCCUCCACCUCCACCAGCCGAGAGCCAUGGUAGGGGUGGACGCCGGCACCCAUGCCGCACUCGAGCUGCACCUCGCGGAUGGCCAGAUUUGAUCGUGGCGGUGCCACAUCAGCCACCGCCUGUCACACCAUCGCCACAUCACCAAUGCCAACCCGCAUUGGCGUGCCACCGUGUCCCAGCGCCACACCUAGGACACAGAUACAUUGCCCCGUGCCGAGAGCCCGCGCAUGGAGACGCAAGAUCCCUGCCGCCGCCGGCUGGCCGGGCUUUGCCCGGCCAUGCCCUCCGGGGGCGACGACGGCGAUGGCAAGGGAUCCCUCCUGGUUGCACGUGGAGGCAAAUCGGUAUGGGGAGGGGAAAAGAGAAAAUCUCCACCAAACGGCGUGAGCGUCAUCGUCGGCGGAGACCACCUGGAAGAGGUCCUUCGAGAUGGUGGUGUAGAACCAACGGAUGAGAGUGGCAUCGAUGGCCGUCCACUCCUCAUCGUCCUCCAUGAAGCGGGAGUCCACGGAGCCAUCGAUGUGAUCCCGGAGAUUGUACUCACGGAACACGAGGGAGA